rnacentral:lncRNA from 1 species
UAUUUUCUAUGAAAUGAUCAUUUUGUCCUUGCGUACUAUUUGGCUGGACGUAAGUGUAAAUGCACCACAGUCGAAAAUAUAUGCAGUCGGAUAUGCAGCAGCUGUAGUUAUAUGCAUUUUAUAGAAAUCGCUACAACGAUAAAGAAUUUGUUUGAUUGUAUGCAAUUGAGAAAUGCAUUUAUAAAAUUACAAUAAUUUAUGUAUUAGGUGGUUGGAUUGCUCCCAAUGUAGGGGAAAAAAAAAGAUAGUUUAUGCUUAAAAGGUGAUUAAAGAGGUAAGGUUUAUCUUUUAUUUAAAGUUAUUUUUGUUUACUGCUGCACUUACAACUAUAGUCAAGUCGGGUAUAGUUCUAACUAUUGUAAUUGAGAUUUUUUGUGCAGUUCAACCUAUUGCAGAUAUAUUCAAACACAUCAAACUAAACAUCUAAUUUGGAUCUGAAUAUAAUUAUAAUUAUAGCGCGGUUGCAAUAACAGACAACCAAACAUCCCCUUAAAUUAGUAGCUUUCUAAUUGUAUUAUUAACACUAAUUUUCAUCUCUAAUGUUUUCAUAUUAACUUUCAUAUCAUUCCAUAUAAACCGUAAAUUAUUAUAAAUCUUGAAAAAUAUCUUAAAAAACUAUUAUUUACGAGGGUAUACUGCUUUUAACAGUGAAAUGCUAACUGUCCAUUAAUAUAGUCCACAUGUUGAGACAAAUUUACAUCUUUAAUUGAUGGGAAACUCAUAUGCAAAUGGAAAUUAAAAUUAGUAAGGAAAAAUGCCAAAACUAUAAUUUGUGUUUAGAAUUUAGUCCAUGAACCAUCACCAAUUUGGUCCAUUUCCAUUUUUUUUAAAAGAAAAAGCAUUACCAAUCUUUAGCAAAUAGCUUAGUAGUUUGAUAACACAGCUCUAGAGUUCGACUAUGGUGUUUUUAAACGCACCAAGUACUUGGUGUUUAUAAGUUUUUUCUUCGUUAUAUCUACCUCUUUGACUAUUUUCAUUCGUUAGAUCAUACUAUUCAAUCAAUCAACCACUCACUUAACUCUAGAAAAUCACUAUCAUCUUAACUGUACACCUCUUAAUCUAAGGAUAAAAAAUCUACAAACACCAAUAACUUAAUACUUUUAAAAGCAUAAGAGCUCAAUUCCAAAGGUCUAUAUAAAAAGAAAAAUGAGCACUAUAUUAAUAUGUUGAUCUAUGACAGUAAAGUAUAUUGUACAGAUUUUCAUCCGAAAAAAAAAAAGAAAUAGCAAAAUACCAAAUAAACUUAAGAAUUCUUAAAAAAUAUAUAUUAAAAAUAGAUUUAAAGAGAAUGUAACAAGUUGAAAUUAUGCGAAAACCAGUCUGGAUUUGAAUGAUCCAAAUCCGGAUUAGAAAAAUUAUAUCAAACCCAAAUUUGAAUCCAAAGCCGAAAAAUAUUCUAUUUUGAGAUCCAAAUCCGAGUUUGAAUCUGAAUCAGAUUGUAAAAUUUUAACCUGAAAAAUUUCGAAUUCGAAGAUCUACACCGUUUGCACCCCCAGGCCCACUAUGGAUUACUACUGGGCUACCCAUGUAGUAAUUUGAAUCCUGAUAAUUGAGAAUCUGAAAUUCUAAAGCUUCAUACUGUAAUACUCUAAUAGUCCCACAUAGGACUCGUAAUGGAAAAUGUAUGGGCUCAUGGGCCCUAGUAUUAAUAACGAGUCAAUAAUUUGAACUUAACGAGUUAUUAUUACUAGUGAAUCGGAUUGUUAUACAUAUUAACCAUCUUAUAUAUGCUCUAUAAAAGGGGCCUGAAAAAGUAGUAAAAAUAUUAAGGCUGAUUGCUUAUGUAGCCUUAAAUUUAUCGACUUUUAUAUUUUUUUCAAAAUUCUGUCCAAAAUAUAUUUCUCGAAACUUUCUUCAUUAUACAUAUAUAACUUGUCCAUUAGUUUUUUUUUUCUAAUUAAACCGGGUUAAAUUUAUUUUCAUCUUAACCAAAGUUGGAUAAAAGGUAAAAAAAAAAUUUUGCCCCUAUUUGUUAAUCUAUUUCUUCACCUAUCAUUGUCCAAUUUGUCCCCAUCCUAAUCGUUGUCCCCAUCCCAUCCCUAGAUUUAAAAAUCGCCCCCACUCCUUUCCAAAAAUCAACUCUACCCCUUGGUCCCUCACCCUCUCUUUUUUGCCCCUAUAAUAUAGUAUUUUUGUUUAUAUUUUUAGAUAUAAACUUAGCUGAAAAUAUAAAGUAACUAGCUUUCGAACUUAGAACCUCCGAUAUCAACCUUCGAGCCUUUAGCUUUCGAACUUAGAACCUCCGAUAUCAACCUUCGAGCCUUUUGCCAUUUGCACUAGAGAUGGUCGAUGAAGCAACCUGGAAUAUCGGAUACCAACUUUUGUUGAUGGAGCAGUAAUGAUGAGGCGCGGCGGAAAGAGUUAGAAGCUCGAUCGAUACCAACUUUUCGACCAUGGCUAUCUUCUUAUAAGCCAGAGAAAGAAGAUCAAGAUAACGAUAAAUAAAUGAAGUCGAUGGCCAUUUAAAAACAAAUAAGAAAAGUAUGUGACAGCAUAAGACUAUUUAAGUAAGAAACAUACUUAUUUUAUAAGAAUAAUGAUUAUUCUUAACAGUAUAUUAAGGAACGAUUUGAUUAGAUAUAAUUAGAAAUACACUAUAGUUGGAGAUACACUAUAGUUGGAGAUGUAUACAAUUGACUAAUUAUAUGUAUUUUGUUUGAUUUGAUAUAGUAGAAAAUGCUGCAAUUUAAAGAAUAGUUUGUUAAAUUGCAUGCAUCUGAGAAAUGCACUUUUAAAUUUUAUAACUUCAUAUAUGUGGUAGUGAGAUUGCCUACGAUACAGGAAAGAAAAAGCGUUUACUAUUUUAGAAGUGAUUGAGCAGAAAAGUUAACUACUGUAGUUUUAGCCAAGCAAAUUUAAGCGCACUUACAGCUGCUGUUGCAGCUAAAUCUCCUCAUACAAUUCUAAUUAUAGCAAUUAGAUUCAACUGCUAAUAGAAUCUAGGACCUUACACUAUACAGAUUUCACCUAAAGAGGGUAUCCAAGCCAAAAACUAAAAUGACUAUCUAUAACCCGUUAUAGUUCUAAGCAGCGAAAACUCGAAAAAAUUUCAAACUGAUACAAGCAAACAUGCGAAUGAUGGAGUUAAACAACAAGUGCAACAAUUUCAUAUUAAUGGAAACACUAGCGAAAAAUUUUAACUUUUAAGUACUUAUCUCAGUUGAUCUAAGUAGGUAACACAUAAGUUCCCCAUAAAAUUAAAGAACAACUCCGACGAAUAGAACUGCUUAACAAAAGUCUCAAAGGCGAAUUGAGAGCAAAACGACAUCCUCCUCAUUUCAGAGGAAUGAACCUGGAGGAGUGGGUGGCACCGAUACCGGGCCUGCCGUGCUUGACCGGCUUGUAGGAGAUGGAGAACUCUGCAAGGUAGUGGCCGAUCAUCUCGGGCUUGAUCUCAACCUGAUUGAACGUCUUCCCGUUGUACACCCCGAUGAUGCUCCCGAUCAUCUCGGGCACUAUGAUCAUGUUGCGGAGGUGGGUCCUCACGGGCUCAGGCUUCUCACCAGGAGGGCCCUCCUUUUUCUGUACAUAUGAAGUGAUUUAAGACAACAGCAGAAAAAAAAAAAAAAAAAAAGAGCACAGCAGAAAAAAAAAGGAAGAGCUUAGAUUUAACUCAACAUAACUCCAUUCAUCGGUGCUACUGCUCUACCAAAUCACAAAAAUGUAGAGGAAUCAUCUGCUCGUAUCAUGAAGAACUAUAUUACACUGCUUCAAAUUAAAAGAGUAUUUCAACAAAUCUACACGUGAAUGCCUUCUACAAUGGCUUGAGGGCUCUUGAACCUAAAAACUGACCCCAAAAAAAAAUCCAACAAAGCCUCAUUGGUUAUCGUUGGGAACCCUCACAACCUUUUAACAGCAGCAGUUUUUCAAAUCACAGAUACAAUAAUUAGAAAGAAAGAUUUAACACUUAUUUCAAACAAUUCUAAACUAAAAAUCAGAUCAAAGAUCAAAUCCAACAUAUAUUCAAUUUACAGGUAUUGGAAAUUUUGUGAGUAUGAGCUUAGAAGAAAAAUUUUGGGGCUAGGGCAGGAAAAAUUGAAAAUUGAAACAAGGAUACAAAAUGGAUCCCAAAAAUGACCAAGUGGUAUAUGUAGUGUAACGACCUAGCUCACUAGCACUAAUGACUUGUUGGGCUCAAACCAACGGCCCAAACUGCUCAAGCCGAAGUUAUUAGUAAUACUGCCUAACCAUAUGUAGAGCUCUCACACUCUCCCACAUUAUCCAAUAUAGGAUUACUGAAAUGUCACAAACUCUUCCCAUUUAGGCCCUGACAUGCUUGUCAGGCCCAAUUAAACACAAGCCUAAGAUCACUAGCAAACAUAAGACCCAUCUCACACUUUUAGUUAGCCAUUCUGGCUUCAAUACGAAACACAAGGACCCAAUCCUCCAACACCAGUAACUUUUUGGGCUCAAACCACUAGCUGAAAACGCUUGGGCCCAAGUUCUUAGUUAGCCAUUCUGGCUCUAAUACGAAACACAACGACCCAGUCCUCUUAACACCAGCAACUUUUUGGGCUCAAACCACUAGCUCCAAAUGCUUAGGCCCAAGUUCUUAGUUAUAAUGAGCCAGGUAUAUAUAAGGCUCUCACGCUCUCACAUAUUAUCCAAUGAGGGACUAUCGAAGUUUCACAUGUGACCUGAGCCUCUAUACGAUCUCAACGGACACAAAUAAAUAAGCCUCAUUGUUUAAGCCAAAUUAUAUGUUUGCACGACAGAGACAGUGGCAUAAAUCUACAGCCAAGUUCCAGCAGUGAUUGGAAAGAGACCCACCAAAACAUAGUAAUGGGAGAGGAGAAGAAAUCUAUGGAUAGGAAAGGAUGAAGAUAUCAAAAAAGAAAAGGGGCAAGAAGAGGUGCUCUGCAAAGCGUGAAGAAGGAGCUAUUAGAACCUAAAAUAGGUGUCUGCAGUCUACGCAGGAUCAGAUUCAUGAUUAUUCAAAUAUGCGUAUGGGCUGGUUGGGCUGGCCUAUUGUCAAACCUUCCUCAGGUCGGAGAGUACAGAUCUUUUGGCCCAAGUAAUCGAUCAUAAAAUCAGACUAAAAGUACACAGUUGAUCAUCAAAAACAACAAAAAGUGCUAGAACAUAAAACAUAUACAAGGAUUGGCCGCUAGCGGAAUUAAUAGCUAAAAAGUUCUUGCAUCAACCAAAUAGAAAGGCAUAUGCCAGUAAAGGGCCCAAGGUUCCUACAAAAAUCUCCAUAUGACAAGGAAAUAUCCACAUCCAACCAAGAAGGCAUCAUAUAUUCAAUUUCUUCGACUCCGCUCAAUACAAUAUAUUUACACCAGAUCCACUCAAUUUACGCAAAAUACAUACAAAUUAUAGACACAAAAUCCACACCUAAAGCAAUGAACAUCCACAAACAGGUAACACGGAGGAAAAACAAAUACAACACAGGUACUAAGAGAAAGAAGAGAUCAACAAAACUCACCGCCUUGCGCAACUUCUUGAUCAAAGCCAUCGGCUUCCGCUUCAAUCCGCGCUGAAACCUAACCCGACCCAACCAAAUCAAAUCCAACAAAAACAAUCAUCUCAACAGCCAAACCCUACCAAAAUUCUCAAUAGGAAACCAAAAAAAAAAAAAAGACAGAAAAGGGAGUGAGAGUUAGGGUUACCUCCUCCGAGCCCUCGCGUGGAAGAGCUUGACGAGCUCGUCGGUGGACAUGUCGAGGAGCGCGUCAAGGUCGACCCCUCUGAAGCUGAACUUCCUGAACGUCCUCUUCUUCGGCUGCCCCGCCGCGACAUCGGCGUCCACGUCGGCCUGCAUAGGCAAUCGAAAGAGAGAGACAGAGAGAGUGUGAGAUCGCGAUCUAGGGUGUCGAGAGAUCUCAAUGAGGGAGGAGGAAGGGGGAGCUCACCAUUGUUGGAGGAGGAGAAGGAGAGGAUGGGGCUGAGGAGGGUUCUUCCGAGAGGAGGCGGCGACGUGCUAGGGUUUGGAGUAGGGUUCGAGUGGUUUUUAUAGUGGAGGAUCUGUCACGUUCGAAUCACGUGAUCCAUCUCGUUUAUGUGCGUUUGGUGGGUAAAAGGGCUUUUUUUGGCAAAUAGCCCCCGACAAAUUUUAUUUGCAAAAAUAGUCCCGUCUAAAAAUUAUUUGCAAAAAUGGCUCUGCCCCUGCCACGCCAGCGCCACAUCAGCGCCACGCAGGCAGGGCGAGCCCAGAUGUUUAAGUUGAACACGGUGAACCAUUCACCAUGUCCAAUACAAAAAUUUUGUAUUGGACACGGUGAAUGGUUCACUGUGUCCAAUACAAAUACCCCAACAAUGGCUAAGUUUGAGGCAUUUGUAUUAGACACGGUGAACCAUUCACCCUGUCCAAUUAUUUGUAUUGGACACGGUGAAUGGUUCACCGUGUCCAAUACAAAUAGCUAUUUUGUAUUGGACACGGUGAACCAUUCACCGUAUUCAAUACAAAAACUUUGUAUUGAACACGGUGAAUGAUUCACCGUGUUCAACUUAACCAUCUGGCCCGGCCCCGCCCGCGUGGCGCUGACGUGGCACUUGCGUGGCGGGGCCAGGGCCAUUUUUACAAAUAAAUUUUUGACAGGGCCAAAUUUAAAAAAAAAUUUUAUAAGGAGGCUAUUUGCAAAAAAAGCCCUGGGUAAAAUUGACAGAGGCCCCUGAACUUUAACUAUUUUUCAAAUAGGCGCCUAAACUUUUGAUUUUGGAAUUAUAUUCUCUAAAUUUCAUCAAAUAGUUCAAGAGACCUCUUUCCUUAAUUAAAAUUAUUAAUUACAUAAUUGUAUUGGUCAUAUUAUUGCACACAGUUUUAUAAGCUUUAAAACACAAAUAAAUUUAUUUUCUAUUAUUCUAACAUACAAAAGGAGCAAUAAAUAAAAAUUUGGUUGAACCUAUUCUCCACUCGUCAUGAUUAGAUAUAAAAAUUAGAAGAAAUAAAUUUCUUUAUAUCUUGAAGUGUUAUAAAAUUAUGUACAUGAUAUUCAAUCAAAACGACUUUACAAUUAAUAAAUUUACUUGAGGAGAGAUAUCUAUUCAACUAUUUAAUAAAGUUCAGAAAAUAAAAUUAUCAAAAUUGAAAGUUUAUGUACUCCCUUGCUUUAAAGAGUUAAAAUUGAGUGGGUCUCUGUACAUUUUUAACCAUUUUAUUUUAUUUUAAAUUUUUUUUAUGGGUAAAAUAUGUUGUUAUCCUCUUUUGAUCCGAAUUCAAAAUUAUUAAACGGAACUAAAGUAAAUAACAUAAUUUGAUUCAACUUUUUCAAGUUGAUAUAAUUGUUAAAGAUUUACUUUUUGGUUCCGUUUGAUUUUGAAACCAAAUCAAAAAGAAAAUCAAAUAACCAUUGUUUGAAUCAAAUUGUAAACGCACUACAUUGCCAAAGUAAACCAGGUUACUUAGUCAGUAAGGUGAGGCCUCAGAAGAGCUCCCCCAAAUAGCUUCUGGUGAGUGAAGUACCCCAAACCAGUUACACAUUGCAGAUGAAACUCACACUAGAAAGAGUUAACAUUUCAUAUGUGACAUCCCAAGAUUUAGAAGUCUUACAUAUGAAACAUCUUAGAAACAUCUUAAUCCGAUUAUAACAUUUUGGACAGUUGUUACAUCCAAAAGAUUAAAAAGAUUAAGUGCGCUAACCUGCUAGGACUAGAGAAGUUCUAGAAUAGGUGACUCUUCAUAGUAUCAGAGCCAAUCAUUAGUCGAAAGUAUAAAAUGAGUCUUGUGUGAGCAAGGUUCACACAGCAGGCAGAGGACAACUCCCCAGGCUAACAAUCAUGGCGAAUGUUAUUCUCAAACAGGAAAGUUGAAAAUCAAAGAUACUAUAAGAAGAUGCUGAGACAACUAAAGGAAAUGUGAGCCAUCAUUAGCAUUUGCUUAUUUUCCAAUAAGAAAAGGUUUCAGAAAAGUUGAUAUAGAUAGAAAUAUGUAGCACAAAUAUGCAAAACUGCUAUGGGAAGAGAAUGUUAAUCCAAUGAUUUAUCCAUCAGAGAAGAAGUUCAGCGCCCAAAAACAAUUAGGUUUUAAACUAAAAGGCCGCAGUAGACCCAUUCAAAUCAUUCUAACGAAAUUGAGAGCAAAACCCAGGGAUGAAUUGCCUGAAAUAUUGUAUACAAACAAAUAAUUUUACAUCUCUAACAGUACCUAGGAGAUGGUACAACAUUGUAUUCAUAGCUUCAGUUUCCAAAUUUGCAAUACGAAUUUCCAUGAUUUAGUUUACUAUUUGUAUAACUUUACUAAUUAAUCGUAAAACUGCAGCGAAGAAAAGCAAGCGAUCCUGAUAUAUAGUGGUUCUGCCAGUCAUCCUGCACCAUACGCUUAAGAUGUAAAAAUGCAAUAAACACGCACACAAAAAGAAAAGGUCAAAGAAUGAAAGAACAGCAAGAACUGAACAAGCGGCUGCUCUGUGCUCAUCCAAUUCUAAGAAAAGAAGAUCCAUGUAUUAGACAGAAAAGAUAAUCAACUGCAAUUACAAAAAGGACCACACUGAAAGAAUUUACAUAAAGCCAAAUAUAGUUUUCCCUUUGCCAUUUUGUCGGCCACAUUAUUCAUUAGUCAACUUGCUGAGGCUACCGAAAAAGAAAACAAGUCUAACAGCCUACCAAGUACCAAAAACGGAUAUGCCUAUUAAUACACUGUGCAUUUUCAGCUUACUGCAUGAGAGACUUUGCUAGCAUAUGUUUCUUCUCUAUAGCAGCACUACAAGAAAUUAUGGAUCUUUAUAGUAGAAAAGACAGGAAACAUACAAAAAUGGUACUUAUCUUCAAGUCUUUGACUUCAGCUUCAUGCGUGCGAGAUAACUUCGUUAUGGGUUUCAAAUGUAGACAUUUAUCAGUAUCAAUGGGAAAGAAGGGAACAUUAUGGCGUGAGAAAAGGAAAAAGAGGGGGAAAAAAGAGGUGAAUAAUAAUAAAAAAAUAAAUGAAAAAUGAAGCAAGGGGUCAAAAUGCCUAAAGAGAUUAAAACUCAAUCCAGUUACAAAUUCAUCUUGCACGUUGCAAGAUAAUUCCUCAAAUCCCCUAAUAACAACUGAUCAGACAGUUUUGAUAUAUCUACUAUGACCCUUCUAAACUCUCAUAUAUAAGGUAAAAAUCAGAAAAAACAAAUCAGUCAGGUUUCCUUACGAUUGACUCAUAAUUUUGGUAGACUUUUAACUUCUUAAAGUCUUUAAAUUGUUUAGAAUAUUAAAGUUAAGAGAAAGAAGAAGUUUGAGAAGAAGAGCAUGAGAAUUAUGUCGAAUAGAAUCACAUCAAAUAUUUAUUAACUAAUAUCAUAUCAUGGUAGAACUAUAUAUAAUCUGAACAAGAUAUAGAGAACAAUGAUUGUACAAUGUCAAGGUUCGAUCAGACCACAUCUAGACAAACCUAUUCAGACCUUGAUAACAUCAAGAUGGUAGGCAUCCGUAAAAUUAUCGAUCACCAGUUCGACUCUGGACAGCAAGCGAACUUCCCAUCUAUUAAAUCUCUAAUCGGACUAGUUAAACUGUUGAUGGACAAGAGUUGAUGCUAGCAAAAUAGAAAAUCCAGAUCCAGCUAAAACUAGAGCAUGUUAGUUUUGGACCUAACUUGUAUGUGCUCAAAGUAAUCCUCUUCAUCAAAAUUAGGUUGCACACUUGCAUUGUUAGUUUGUCUCCACAAAAUUGACUUACAUCUAUAUGACUAUAUCGUACCUCUUAUAUAGCUGAAGAUGUAUAUAAUGUAUGUAUAGGUUCUUUGUUAGCUGCAAAGUUGCUAUAUUUUUCUAGUCAUAUUCCAAAACCCCUAUGGCCACAUAAAACCCAAUAAUCUGUGAAUAAGGCAAUGUGAAUGUUGUUGUUUUAUGUCAAAGAGCACCUUACGUAACAAAGUUCAUCAGAAAAAAAUGUAAAACUUUGGAAUGUCCUCUACUCUUUACCUAGAUGGAUAUCCGCACUAUCCAAAAAUUGAGAGAUAUUGGCAAUCAACUAAUGAUUAGACUUUUCUCACGUGUUAUAUUAAAUAACAGGCUAAUGAUUAUAUAAAGUUACCCACGUAGACUUUCACAAGUUAUGCAAGAAAAGAUUUAAGCCCAAUCAUCAGGAAUUUCACAAAAUGAUGUAGAAAUUUGCAGUCGUAUCCUAAUCUCUCGCAACACUGGCACAACGAAUGGAUCUUUACCAAUUGAGCCACAGCAGCAGCAGCAAAAAUUUCAGAUUACAUCAUGGAUACAAGUUUAAUUUUCAAAGCACCUGAAAUAGUUCGAUUUCAAGCAACUUUCUUCCAUCAAGUAUGGAAAUAAACGGAUGCAACCAACAGAAAGCCGUUAAAAAUGAAGAAAAGAGAAUGCUUAACACGAGCACUCACGAUCUGUCAGACGAUCUAGCGACUUUCUUUUUAGUUAUCUCUGGUGAAGCAAAUUACGGGAAACAAAGAAAAGCAGUGUAAUCCUGUUCCAACAUCUGUCAAUGACAUAAACUCUGAACAAGGAUUAUAAGGAUUAGUCGCGAAAUAAGAGUUCGCGACACUAACCGCUAACAUGUAGAGGCUCAAUACCCCAACUAUUCUACGCAGGAUGAAGCAUGACCAAAUCAAUCUCUUAUUCAUAUCGAAUUUGAAUUCCUUCACAGUAACAGUUCAAAUACCUCUAAAUACCUCUAAAGUUUUUACAGAAAAGGAAUAAAAAACGGAGCAAAGGAGUCACCUUCAAUACAUCCCGCGACUGUUGUUGAGGAUCGAACUGAGGGUCCCCAACACAGCGAACGCGAGGAGAGGGCUAACGUCGAGGGUAUCGAACACGGGCGGGAUGAUGUUGCGGAAGAGGUUGAGGUAGGGGUCGCAGAGGUCCCGGAUCGCGGAGAGGGGCUGGCGAUCCCAGGGGAUGUUGGGGAACCAGCUGAGCAGGACCCGGACCAUGAGGACGCCGCUGUAGAUGUCGAGCCACUUGGCCAUGCCCGCGGCGACGACGGUGAGCGGCGUGUUGAGGUACCCGGAGGGGCGGUCGCGGAGCGCGGCGAAGAAGAGGGGCCCGCCCAUGGGGGAGAAGGGGAGCUGCGGCGCGGAGGGGGGCGGCGCGGCGACGAAGCGGGAGAGGAGGGCGCGAGAGGCGGAGAGGGCGAGGGAGAGGAGGGUGGUCAGGGUGCGGGUGGAGGAGGAGAGGAGAGGAGGGGGAGGGGCGAGGGAGGAGGAGGAGGAGGAGGCCUUUAGGGUUAGGGUUAGGGUUUUGGAGCGGAGGGGAGAGGGGGAGAGGCGGAGGAAGAGGAAGGGUCGUCGGGGAGUAGGGUUAGGGUUAGGGUUUCGGAGGGAGAGGGCGGCGGCGGUGGAGGAGACGAGGGUGGCGGCCAUUGUUGACGUGGGGUUUGGGAAGCGUGAGGGAAGGCGAAGGGGAUAAUGGUGUGGGUUUCGUUAAUUAUUUUGCGAUGUUACUCGUGUAGAAGAUAAAGAGUAUCUAUACUUCUAUACUAUAUACUAAAAUCCGUGAGGAGUUUUUGUUUGCGACGCAAGUCGAUAUGGUAUAGUGUAACUGGAUCUAAGUCAAAAAAUAUAACUUUAUUUCAAUAAAUAUAUUUAAAAUUUAUACUUUUUUAAACAUACAUAUUUUGAAUAUUAUAAAAUAUAAUCAAUAAAUUAAAUUUUAAUUUUUAAAUUGUUUAUAAUUAAUUUUUAAAGGUAUCAUGUAUAAUAUUGUAAAUCGAAUCCAAUACACCAUAAAUUGGUAAUAAAUUGAUAAUAAAGAUAUUGAGUGCACCUUGUGCAGUAUAGAUAAUGAAACUGCUCUAUUUCAAUUGGAUCUAUUGGGGAGAUAAUCUCUUAAUGUGCCAGCGUGUACUCUCUCUUUUACUUAAUUUUUAUUUAAUUUAAUAUUUAUAUUUUUUUCUUUUCUCUUUUCCUCUCUCACCGAGAAAUAUGCAUGUUACUUUCCUUACUCGCUCAGUUUAAUUUUUAAUUUAAUGCUUUCUUUUUUUCCUUUCUCCAAACAAAAGAUAUAAAUAUUUAAAAUAAUUUUAAACUUUAAUUUAGUAAUUAUAUAUUUUUAAAAAUAUUUAAUGUUUAUUUUUUAAAAUUAUGAGUAAAAUAUACUAUAUUUGAAAGUUUAAAAAUGCUCUCUCUCUCUCUGACUUCAAUUUUUACUUCAACUUUUAUUUGACGACAUUAAACGACUUUACAAGUUUACAUAAUGUAUAAUAUAAUAUAAUAAUUGUGAGUUUAAAAAUUGCACCCGCUGCAAAGCAUGGGUAUAUUGCUAGUAAUAAAUAGUUUUUUAUGGGGAUGUAAUAGUUGAAUUAUAUAGGAAUUUUUGGUGCAACUAUUACCACUAAAAAAUAUUGCUGUUUGUGACACAGAAAAAUAUUUUUAUUUUCAGUAACAGAGCAUUCGAUAUUAUUAGUAAUCCAUUUUUUUUGAACUUUUUUUAGGAUUUAAAUUUCAUAAAUCUUUCAGCACACUUUUUUAUUAUUUUAGUGGUCUUAAAAUUGGCUAUUUUAAACGACUAUUAUCAUAUAAAUUUAAAAUCACUAGAAUAUUAGAUAAAUUAUGUUAAAAAAUUAUAAUAUUUAAGUUUUAUAAAAUUUAAAUUUACAGUCGAACACGUGCCGGCUCGCUCAUUCGCUAGCCCUUGUUCUAAAUCAAUUUUCUAAAAUAAGACAAAUUAUAUCAUAGAUAAUAUAUAUAUUAUUCUAUCAAAUCAUAAACAAUAAGACUUUUAAGGGGCAAAUAUCAAACUCCUACUUUAGAAUUAUAUAUAUAUAUAUAUAUAUAUAUAUAUAUAUAUAUACACUGAAUAAGUUAUCAAAUAAUAGAUGAUUCCAAAGUCCAAACAAAGCGUAAAUAGUUCUUAAAAAGGAAUAGGUAGCAAAGUAGAACCUUAAUAAAAGUUCAGAGCUACUAGUACAAUUACCCUAAUUUUUAAAUGCCAUAUGGUUGGAGCAUUACCAUUCAAUUUCACCUCAAAUUUCCAGUCCCUACCACAAAACUGCUUCUCAAGCCCCGGAAUUAGUAACAAAAAGAUUAUAAGCAUUUACUGUGACUAGAAGCUAAUUGAUAAGUUUUUGUUGUAUGAGAAGCUACAGGAGAGAGAUGAAGCUCCAGCAGUAUCAAACAUGCCUCAUAUAAAAACUCAAUUGAAUCUACCUACUUUAAAAGUGCCUUAAACACCCAUAUAUAUCAUCCAAGAGAUGCAGAAAAUAAGGAAGCAAACACUGGCUAUUCACACUUCACAUUGCUCUUACCCCCUGAAAGUCGCAAGUCCGGCGCAGAAGCAGCUGCUGAUCUCAAACCCUAAUAUCGGGCAUUCAACUUCAUACAGUGAACUAUAAAUGAUGUACAUGUGAAAAAAGAUUAGAGCUGCAUAACCGCAAAAAACUUCGUGUUAUUACUAUACCGUAUGCGCAACAAGCCUUACGCUCAAUCCUCUUUCUACAUUAUACUGUUCAAUAUUUUUCGCACAACUACGUGAUCUGAAAGUUUAAAAAAGGGUAAACAGACAUAAUUACUAUUUCAUCGAACGCCCAAUUUAUGAGCUUGUAUCUGAACUUCCGUGAGAGGUUCAGAAUUGCGUCUGUGCCUUGCUCCCCGAGACACUCUCAUUGUGCUAUCCCUGGACUAUAAAGCUAGAAAAAACCAUUACCAUCAAACCUAACCUAGUAAGCUAUAACAACCUGAUCUUCAGCUAAAAUUAAAGCUAAAGAACAUUUCCAUCAAACCCUAACCUGGUAUGCAAUAACUACCUGUCUUCAGCUACCCUCGCAUUCUACACAAAAUCGUAUAUUUUCAGCAAAAGGGACUCUAUAACGAAGCACCGGCUAAUGGACAGCUGCAAGCUUCAAGUGUAUACCAGCUUCCUCCAGCUUACUGCACAGAGUAUCAAAAGGUGAAUAUGAGAGAUGGUGUAGAAAUAGAUAAAACUGAAGGAACAAAAGAAAGAAUGCAACCAAUUAACUCAAAAUCUUAAGAUAUGGACAGAUGGCCCUGUGAAGCAUCAUGUAAGAGAUUAAUCUCGAAAAGCUUCAGCAAAUAGCUUCCCAACGUUGGUUUAGAAAAGCUUAUGCAUUGUGCGGAAAAUGAACUAGAUAUCACACUCAAGGAAUAUUCUAAGAAAGUCAUAUUGAAAAAUAUGAGGCGCCAUUUAAAAUAACAUAACUAAACUCAAAUAAUAUGCAAUUCAAUGCAGGGGCAGAUGGAGUUCUCUGUUAUUGUAAUUGUGAUUGUUUGUUUGCUUACAAACUUGUCUUAAUAAUAAAAAAAAAAAAAGAGGAAAUAAUUGCGACUUUUUUACGUUUCUUGUUGCCAUACAUAUUGUACAGAUUGCAAACACUCCAUCACCAAGUGAAGCAUUCAAGCACAUAGAAUUUGAGUUUAAAAAGAAAAAGGAAAAUGUAAUCAGUACUAAAGGAGGCCUAGGUUAGCAUUCAACAUGGAAGGCUCGAUGGCAGUUUCAAAUAUAGUGGUUGUUUGGCAUGACACAAACACUCAAUGCAGUACAGUCAAAUAUUCCCUGACAGGAAGUAAGUUGGAUAAUAUGUGUAACUCACCAUCUUUCUUUCAGUUAAUAUUUUUCUUUACUUUUACUACAGGGAUUGAAGAAUCUUCUCUUUCAGGUUACAUAACCUUCUAAAGUCUCAAGUGAUGCAUUCUACUUUGUAUAAACAAAACCAACUUAAAAAGUAUCCUGCUCAUUUCUAUCUCCUCAAUUGAAUUUUUAAGUAAAUACCAGUCAAUAAACAUUCCUAUAAAGGCAAUACAACCUAACUUUCCAUUUUGAUGUCAUUUCAAAUGCUAAACAUGCUAUUCAAAAUCCAGGUAGGAUUAGUCAUUGACUAUUGGCUCUCACAGGAAGCUUAGGAAAGAAAUCAGCUGAAGGAAAGCCAUUACUCCAAUUUUGCAUUAUCCAUGAAGCCUAGGCACAUGUGAUCUUAAAAUUUAAUCACAAGGCAUUCCAAGCCAAGGCUCAAUCAAUUCCAAGUCAGAAGUCUACUUUUGGCCAACUAUGUUUAGAUAGGUUAUGUUUUAUUGUUUCGACAUGGUAUUUCCUAAUUCUACGGAUUAAUGUAUAGUUUGCUAUAAUUCCUAAGAGUCAUAGUCGAAGAAAAAUCCUCCCAAAUUGUAUAGAUGAACAACCUACCUGAUCCCUAUUUUGUAUCAUAUCAAAGGGUGAAUGCUCACAAAAUUAUAUGCAAAGAAGGCUCGUAAAAAUGCGGACAAAGGAUACACCUUCAGUCUUUCUUAUACUUGACAUGGGAAAACUAACACAAGAUUAUAAAUAUCUUUAGAUUCCAUUAAAAGCAAGAUAUGAAUCUUAUUGUAGCCUUAAGUAUGUCAUAAAGUCCAUCUCUAAAGUUUCUCAUCUAUGGAGGUUUCGGUGCUAAACAGAAAAGUUGUUUCACAUAGUUAAAGCUGAAUUGCAGCUAAAUUUGAUCUCAGUGAGGGAGAAGGCCAAUAAAAAUCCAUUGAAAACUAUAACAAAAGACGGAGAUCAACAUAAUCUUCUAGCCACAGUUGGCUAAAAAAAUAAUAGUAAACCAAUUAAGUCUCAAAGAACUUCAACGGCGAUCAAGAGAAAAACCUUAAAUAUAAAAGUGAUUGUAGCAGAGAGAAAUCUCUAAAGACUAUGUAAGUCCAUAAUAAUUCCCAUUUACUUUACAUUUUGAAAGAGACCCCUGAAAUUUCUUUCUUUUUGUUUUUUAUCCUAUUGACGACUUCUCGACUUUUAUGUACUUUCAUUGAGUUAUAUUCAUUGAUUAAAUUGAGAAUUUCACAGUCCAUUAACCAUCAAACGAUGAUCAAAAACAAAAAUUGUAGUUCGGCCAACUGAGUAGAAUCCACAAUUCAAGUGAUGGAAGUUGAUCGAAUCAAAGGAAAGAAUCGUCAGAGGGUGUCAAUCAAAAACAAUAAAGUUGAGGGAUCUAUUUCAAAAUGGCCUAUAAUCUACUUUCAACUAAAUAUUUACAAAGUAAAAUGCUGGGACAACCCUUGACUUCAGGCCAUUCACACCAAAGCUUCAUUAUUAUUAUUAUUUUUCCUACUAUUGAGACAUUCACAUGAUAUCAAUUGAAGAUUAUAUUAAGAUUAAUGAUGAUAUUGUUAAAUUGUAUCAGACAUGCAAGUUUUGAAGAUAAACAAAAAAGCUGAUUUUAACGCCUGAUAGCAAAUGAAGUGAUUAAGUAUGACAAAAAAUAUCCUUAAUUCAAAUAACCGGAACAAUUCAAGCUACAAUCAAAUUCAAAAAUCAUAGUCAAGUGCGGCUCCUUAAAUAAUUACAAACAUUCAUAGCGCAAAUUACAAAAAAAAAUUGAAACAACGAAUUCGAAGAAACAGAGGGAGGAGCUCGACCUCUUCUUAGUUGCGGCGCGAGCCGGUCACUGCAUGGGCGGGCUCCGUUGGAGGAUGGAGCUGAUCACGCCGAGCACGGUGAGCGCGAGGAUCGGGCUGAAGUCGACGUUGCCGAGGGGGGGCAAGACCUUGCGGAAGAUGGAGAGAUACGGGUCGCAGAGGUCGCGGAGGGCGGAGAAGGGCUGCCGAUCCCACGGGACGUUCGGGAACCACGUGAGCAAGAGGCGCACGAGGAGCGCCUCGCUGAAGAGGCGGAGCCACCGCGCCAUGGCGGCGACGGCGGCGACGAUCGGUGGCUUGAAGUAGGCGGCGGGGUUGUCGGAGGCGAGGGGGAAGAACGGGGCGCCCAUGGCGGAGACCGGGCCGUGGUGAUUGCGGCGUCCGUGGCGGAGGCGGAGGGGGUGGGGCGAAGGGGUCUCCAGGGCGUGGAUCGGGCCAUGGCGGAGGCGGAGGUGGGCGGAGGAGGAGGAGGCGCGUAGGGUUGCGGUUGGAUGGGGACGGGGAGGUAAGAGGAGAAAUUGGGGACGAGGGGGGUUAGGUUUAGGGUUAGGGUUUCGGAGGAGGAGGGGGAAGAGGAGGAUGGUGGAGGAGGAGGACGAGAGCGCGGUUGCCAUUGUUAGCACCUUCUAGCGUGUUGCAAAAGUAAUAAUAAUAAUAAUAAUAGCGCAUAUAUAUAGCGGAAGGAACGUCGUAAAAUAUGCAAGAAGACCCCUCAACUUUAGCUAUUCGCAACUAAGAAACAAAGCCGUUAACUCUUUUUUUUAUUGAAAAAAUUUUGGGUUGCAUUGUCUUACAGAGGCAAGAAUCACUGCUUAAACUAGUAACAUAUCAUGACAUCAUAAAUAUUUUAUUAUUAUUUUUAAUUUUAUUAUAUAAAAAAUUAUUAUUAUUUUAGUACCAUACUUAAUUACAAAAUACUAAUUUUUUAUUUUUUAUUUUAUAUAAGUAGAUAUAAGUUUUCAAGUUUACUUUUUAUCAGAUUAAUCUAUACUAAUAGAAAAUAAAAUCAGUUAACUUUAUUUUAAGCCAUUGUACUUUAUUAAAUAUGACUUGGUAAAAAAAAUUCUAUGCUUGGAUUAAAAUUGGACCAAUUUAACUAUUUGAUGGUCGAAACGCGGGUUCGAAUAGUUUAAAAUAGUUUACUUAAAAUAAUAAUUAAUCUGUAGUUUUAACAUCAUUCAAUUCUAACAAACAAAUAGGAAAACUAUAUAAAAAAAAUAGUUCUAUAGUUAUACAAAGAAACAGCAAAAAAUAUUAAAUUUUACCUAAACCCUUAAACACCUACUUCAAUCUGAAACUGCACUUUUCGUGCAACAAACAAAACAUAAAAUCUGCAACUAACUCGAUGCAGAUUUAUGACAUACCAUUUACUUCUUUUAUAUUAUUUUACCAAGUAAUAUAGAGUACUUUAAUAGAUGAUGGCUAUAAUUCACCAACAGAAAAAAAAAAAAGGUUUAAUUUAUAAGUAAAAUAAUAAUUAUAAUGGCAAAAACAAAAUUAGUGAUAAAGCACCAUACCAGCACAUGUAGAAUGGUACAAAAUUUGCAUAGGAGCAGAGCAUUUUCUUUCAACACUUGAUGCAUGUCUAUGAGAAUUUCAAGUACAAUAACUCAACAAAAUCGCAUCGCUAUCAACUUCUCGGCCUAAAAUAAGUAAAUCUUUCUAAAUAAAGGUAGGUUGGUUAGGACAAAAUUAUUUUCCCCAAGAAAUUGUACGUGGAUUUAGUUCUAAAAUAUUUUGGUAAAAAUUUGAGAACAUGUACCAAACCAACAUCACAUACAACACAAUUUCCACACGCACAAAAGUUAAACAGCAAUUCCAUCAUUUCACUACCAAGAACAUAAAAGAGUAUCCAUCAUAUAUUUCUCAAUCUAACCUUCCAAUGUGAGAAAGCCAUUUCCAAACGAAAACCCUAAUCAUGUAUUUUGAUCAAGAAGAUAAACCUAAUGGCACCGACGAAUCACAACAGUUCAACUAUCAAAUCAUACAGAUUUAUAACAGAGGCCAAACUAGUCAACAUAAAGCACCUUUUCCUUUUCCUUUUUUUUCCAUUUUUUUUAAGUUUCAAGUCUAGUUCGCCGAGAAAAGAGGUUAACAAUUGACAAAUCCAUUGCCAUGGAAAUAUAGCGCAUUGCCCAUCUCAAUACCCGUAAUUUGUUGCAUAGCCGGAGCCAUAGCCACUGCCGUUGUGAGCAGGAGCGGAGCCGACUGAAGACCCGUACGCAGGUGCAUGGGCUGAGUAAGCAUUGUAGCCGGAGUCGACAGGGCCCAUUGUGUUCUGCGAUGGAGCUGGAGCUGCGGCGGCUGGAGCAGCCUCUGCCAUGAAAUUCUACAAAAUAAUAGUUUCUGUUAGCAACAAGAUAAAUAAAGGAAAAAAAAAAUCUUAGUGUAACUUAGAAAAUGCACCCAAACCCCUGUUUGCCCAAGGUAAAAUAAAGGGGGGUGCGUUAUGAGUCAUCACCCUGCUUCACUAAAUCGAAACAGUGACUAAGAGACUAAAAUAAUGAUACUAAAAUAAUGAUACUAAAAAAAUAUGUAUAUACCUCUAGGACAACUAGCUCAAGUGGUUUCGGCAAAGAUUACUGGCUUUUCAAUGUUUAGAUUUCUUUAGAUAUUGUGCUUGCCUAAGCAAGUACAAUUUCAGAGGUAAAAAUGUAAUAAUGAAUUAACACAGUCAACGGAGAAAAGCAUGAGUGAUCAAUAGAAAAUGGACAAUAUAAAGAGUAGUCUCUACAGGCCAACAGCUGGUAAUAGCAAAGAAGAAACCAAAUCAUUCCAAGUCACUGGAGCACCGACGAGAGAGAGAGAGAGAGAGAGAGAGAGAAAGAGAGGGGUAAUGCUCAAAUCAUUUCGUUAUUCACCAAAAACAUCAGAAGAGAAUCAAUACAAUCGACUGCAAAGGGAAAAGAUCAUACCUGUAUCAAUUGCUGAGCAGUUUGGACUUGUGUAGCACUCCCAAUAAUUUCAACAGUCAUCUCUCCAGGAACACCUCUUGUUUCCUGUAUAGUAACGGUCGCCCCACUAGCACGACGAAUAUAGCUGAUACUCGAGCCAGAAGUCCCAAUUACAGCAUCAGCAUACGAAAGUGGGAUUUGCAUAUGAUGUGUGACCUGGCAAAAUACCAACAAAAACAAUAAAUGGAGGCCAUCUAAGUGGCAUUGAUGUAAUAUAUCGACCUACUUAGAGAACUAACCUGGGAGGCCGUGGGUGGCGCCUGUUGAUUCGUUGACGAAUGGGCCCCACCACCAACUGGAGGUGCCUCACGGCCAUAAGUAGAUACACCAUAAUGAGGCUGCUUCUCCAUCGGAGGUAGGUCAGGUGGGGGAUAAAAAUUGUCAUGGGGCCGUGGAGGCAUGAACCGAGGAUUCGGAGGAAGGGCUUGAGGAGGAACCCAGGGUUGGUGAGGGGGCAUGUUUGGGGGCUCCAUGUGCAUAUUUGGCAUUGACAUCUGCAUAUUUGAGUAACUUAAUAAAAUUCUUUAAAUCUGCUGUAAAGCAAGCUGUGCCAAUGAAGAAACAUUUCUCACAUGCAUUUCGAAUAAAGGAAGGACUCCACGAUCAACCAGAAACUUCCGUAAAUGAGUAGCAAUCAGUUCCACGGCUUUGUGCAUACUGAUGGGUUCCCCCUGUAUCUCAACAACUCUGUCAUCAUGCAAAGCGAUGGGAGGGAGAUUCUCUGCAGGAAUUAGAAACAUCAUGUAGGCAGAAUGCAAGUGAGAAAAAUAGGUCUAGCUAUCUAGUAGUAAAGAAGUACGGUGACUAUCCAUAGCAACUAAAGCACCUGGAAGUCCACUUGUAAAUAAAUUCUAUAAUUGUAACACUAAUCUUUUGAACAUAUGCGAAAAAUAUUACAAAAACUAGGAAGAAUAAUUACAGCCCAUAUCUCAAUAGGUCUGUAAGUGGAUCCUAAUUUUUCCUUCAAUAAACCUUCGUGCAAAAAUACAAUUAGAACAACAAUGAAAGCACAUCCAAGAAUUACUUAAUCAAACCUAGAUUAUUCGGCAUUAACAAAAAUCAAAAGUCAGCCUUUCUAACUUGCGAAAGCAACUCACUAAUGCAAAUCAACAUUUACAUGAUCCAAACAAAAGAAUUAAACAGGCAACAGAAAUGAACCAAUCCAUUGACUGUUCCCAGCUUGCCAACUAAUAAGAGGAUAAGCAUUACAAAUCAAUAAGACAGCGUGUGCAUUUUCUGCAAGCAGUCAAUACUAGGAUAAAAAUAUAAUUGCAGAGGAAUAUUUUUGUAUCUGGCUAGCCAGAAAAACAAUUUGGGUAAAUUGUACAAUUGGUGCCCAAACUUUCUCUAAUGUCACUCUGGUCCUUCAACUUUUUAGUAGGGUGUUCAAUACACAGUUCUUAUCCUCCUCUACUGAUGAGGAAAAUUGAUUGCCUGCAUCCAUUCAUCAUGCACCACACAUCUGUGAAGCCCAGUUUCCAAUCAUCAUGCAACAUGCAUAUCUGAUGCCCCACUUCCCGGGGGUCAACUAUUCUAGAAUUACUCUAGCUCUAACACGCUUAUUCCUCUUAACCUCUUAGGUCUAACCACCACCCAAAAUGAGUUUCAAAGGAAAGCAAUUGGUUGGGUCGAUGAAAUUUAGGUAAAGGCGCGAUAGCAUUUUGGUUUCUAAUUUAGAAUUUCUAUUGUUAUUUUUUUCUUUACUCAUCCGAACCUCAAUAGUCGGGUUAAGAGAUAUAACCCUUUUAUAUCUUAUAUGUAGGACUAUUUCAAAUCUAGAGGUAGGAGCCGUGACGUUUUCGUCGGGCUCAAGCACACUCACAAGCAUCAGGCGAUGUGAGACUCAUCUUGCGAGCCUUACCCGACCUUGUAGGGAGCCUGUGGGGAGCCACGCUCCAUCCACAACAAUCAUUAGCCGAAGAGCCGCACUCUACUCGCUAUAUAACCUUAACUCAGCCGCUCGCACUUCCAACUGGUGAUUGGCUCUGAUACCAACUGUGACGCCUGCUUCUCAGGGGGGCACCCAUCCUAGAACUAUUCUAGUUCUAGCACGCUUAACCCUAUUAACCUCUUAGGCCGAGCCACCGCCCAAAAUACUAUAGCUUGGUUAAGAUGUUUAGCCCUAUUAUAUUUUAUAUAUAGGACUAUUUCAAAUCCUAGAAGUGUCACAAAUCAAUCAGCCUUCAAUGCCAUCCCAUAUUUCAUUUUUUUUUUAUUUGAUUGGUGAAUUGAAAGUAUGAAAUCGAUUAAGGUCGAUGGCCUCAUAAUGCACAGAUAAACGAAGGCACCAAGCUCAGAAAAUAUCCCUCUAAUAGUAGAUGCCAUCAAAGAGCAAAGUAAAACACUUAAAAAAGAUGCCAAAUGUCCAACUUGAAAGUUUGAGAACCAAAGUAAAACUUGAAUAUAAGUUUAAUGAUUACUCAUGCAAUUUAUCCAAAAUGGUUGACAAUAGAAACAAACUAUAAUGAAACUCACAAACAAAAUUGCUUAUUCACUUUAUAAGUUCAUCCAUAAGAAGUUAAAAAUGCUUAAUUCAAAAAAUUCAGUACAUAUGCUACACAAAGUUUAGAACUCCUACCUACAAUACGAACAAUCGAGUUAGAAGCCUCUUGAAUGGAUUUGAUGGUCGCUCCUUGCUUCCCAAUGAGGACUCCUGCCUGUGAAGCUGGUACGAGUAGUCGUGUUGGUAUGGCAUUGCCAGAACUUGGAGGCUGAGCAGAUUCACCUUCAAAACCAUCAUAUAUGCGUUUGUGAACCCUCAACAAACCAUCCAUAGCAGGAGGCAUGGGUGCAUCAGGCUCCUCCUUCGCUGAAAUAAUAACCUUCGAGGGUAACAAAAAACAAAUGUUAGUUUCAAAGAUGACAAGAAAUAUCAGCUGCAUUGGGUGAAUAAUCUGUAUAAGCUAUUAAGAAUAGAUUCACAUACGGUAAUGUGAGGACUAUAAACAUUUUCUCAAUCACAUGAAAUACACCGUGAACAUAUAAUGGUACCCUACAGUCUCAUGAAAACGACAUCGAAUUUUACUUUUUCAGGAACAAGAACUAGAAAAUUAAAAUGUGCUAAGUAGAUUGAUCAUGCCUCAAUGGAUAGGACAAAAAAUAGCUGAAUGCAGACUUAAUAAAGCCUAGCGAACAAUACUUGCAAACAUGAUAAAAAGGCUAAAGCAUCACUCCGAGCCUCAUUUUGAGUCUUCAAGGCUGCGUUUAGUUGGAAAACUAAAUUUUGGAGAACAACUUUUGUUGUUCCCGAUAACAGGGGAUAUUCCGGUACAAAAUAGAACAGUUGUAAAUUUAUGUUUUGAUGCAUUCGGGGAUAUUCUAGAGGAUAUCCUUAGUAGCGUUUGGAUAAAAAGUGUAGAACAAUAUCUAAAUAUAUUUUUAAAAAUAAAAUAAUUAAUUUAUAUUAGUAUAUUUUAUAUAAAAUUAUUUCUUAUAGUAAUUUAUAAUAUAAUAUUUUAUGUAACAAUUUAAUUUAAAAUAGUAUAUUUAUUUUACUAUAUAUAAUAAUAAUUUAUUCAUAAUAUAUGUAACGAUAUCCUUAUAAUUUUAAUUAAUGAUAGUAUAAAUUUCAAUAAAAAUUAAAAAAAUAUAUAAUGCAUGAAAAAAUAAUUAUAUAUAUAAUACUUAAUAUAAAAUAAAAUAAUUAAAUAUUAAUAUAUAAAUAAUAAAACUUAAUAAAAUAAAUAAUAUAUCAAAUUUAAUUAAUUUAUAUUAUAUAAUAAAAUUUAUGUCUAAAUAUAUUAUCAUAAAAAUAAUAUUUAUAUUAAUAUAUUUAUUUAUAUAUCUAUUUAUCUAAUAAAAUAAAGAGAAGAACAAAGUUUUUCUCAGUUCCCCUAGGAACAAUUUUUAACGGGUUGUUCCAGAACAACCUAGAACAACCCGUUUUGACCAGAACAACCCAUUCCCUCCUGUUCUUCUGCCGUUUGGUUACAACUCGGGGGAUAUCCCGUAUUGUUCCGAAAUAUCCUCGGUACCAACCGCAGCCUAAGUAUACAUAACUAGUGUCUACCUAAUUCAACUAGGUACUCUCACACCCCGUUUGGCAAUGGUACAUGAUGGGGUAUAAGGGGCUUAUACCCCAUCUUGUACCCAAACAUAAAUUGGGGUGGGUGGGAACACUUGUUCCCACCCAAACCGGGUUGUACUGGUACAACCCGGUAAGGGUAGGAACAAGUUGUUCCCACCCUAGGUUGGAACAAGGGUAGGAACUACUUGUUCCCACCCAAGAGAGAGAGAGAGAGAGAGAUUAGUUUUAAAUUAGAAUUUAACUUUUAAAAAUAUUUAAUUUAUAAUUUUAGAAUUAAAAUUUACAAUUNUUUUAAAAUUUAAAAUUUAAAAAUUAAAAAUUUUAAUUAAAAAUUAUAAAUAUAACAUUUAAAAAUUAAAUUAUAAAUAUAACAUUUGAUGUUAAUUAAUUAGAUAAUAUAAUUUUAAUUUCAAAUUAUAAUUCUUAUUCCUCUUGUUCCAAUCUAACCAUCCAAACACAAUUUUUCUAGUUCCAGCUUAUACUCACAAUUUCAUCCAAACAAAAAAAUACUCUUGUUCUUACAAAAACCCAUACUUGUACCUAUCCCCGGUAUAACUAGUUCCUACUAAUUCCCGAACCAAACAGAGCCUGAUGUGACAUGAAGGAUGCCUUAAACCUGAAUAAAACUAAUGACACUCAAUGAAAAAAAAAAAAAACCAAGACUCCCAAUGUGCAGUAAGGCAGUUCACUUGUACCUUCAUUCUGUGAAAUAUGGAUGAUUCAGAAACUUCUACAAUUGAAGAGAACAAUAGAGUAAUAAUAUCUCGUCAAUCCACAUCUGCCUCUCUCAGAAAUAUAAACUACAGCUCUCCAAUCACAUCGAAUAACUUUAGCAUUGAAUAAGUUUAGCAUGAAUAUGCCAUAAGAAUGAAAUGAAAAGGCAUUCCAAGUACGAAGCACGUAAACUGAGUCAUAAUGGAAAGAUGAUUUGCAAGGAAUUUGUUAAACAGCAAAAUUAUUCACCAACAACGAACAAGAACAGGUAAAAAAAAAAAAAAAACAUAUGCUGAAUACCAACAUAGAACACAUUUGCAGUGCUUAAUUAUUAUAUGAUAAAAGCAUCGUCAAUGAUGUUCAUCUCAACACAAAACUACGGUUGUAUGCAUUGACAUGUGCUGCCUUCUUUCGACUGUUAAAGCAUGUCAGCCUAGAGUUCCCUUGUAAUAUUGAUAAUUUACUCGAAUGGCUGUCAGAUUGACACGAGUGACAGUCACAAAAGAUUUUGACACCAUAUAUAAUAUGUAGGCUAUAUCUACAAGGUUGAGGCUUUAGAAAAAAGCUAUCAGUACCUUGUGCACCAACAAUCCCAAAUAUCGUGGCGUAUCACAAAUUCGUAAAUGGUUAACGAAAGCUUGUUUCGAGCAUAUGGAAGAGAAGAAAAUAUUCAGACCAUGGAAUUCAACUAUGAAGUAUAAUUUCUAAAAGUUAUACUCAUUUCCAAAGACAGAAUCACUUGUGUAUUCAAAACCACGGUAAGUGAGAUUUGAGUAAGACAGACGGAACUGAGAAUAAAUUUGACAUAUGUUCUACCACUUUAAAAAUGAUAUAAUGCAAAAAGAAGACAAAAGGUUGUUCCAGGGGGGGAGCGAGGGCGGGGGAGGGAGGAGGGAAUGAUACCACUGACAGCCAAGAAAUUUAAAAAUUGUAUAGAUGACUAUGUUCGCAUAAUACUUACUUCUCUUCUUUUAUUCUCUCAAUCUCAUUUACUUGCUUUUAUUUUUCCAAUUAUUGACAAUAUCAUUUAUUAAUAUAAUAAUAUUGCAUAAUAUAAUGGAUAUCUUAAAUCUCAUUCUCAGGAAAUAUAGUAUAUUUUAAACCUUCUACUUUAUGCUUCCAUUCAAACUGAACUAAAAUCAAAUGCUAAUAAUAACAUGAUCUCUAUACCUCCCAUUCAGCUGUUUUUAAACAACAGGUGAUCCCUUGGUAAGAAAAGUAGAAGCUUAUAUAUUUGGCCAGAUGUAGAUGAAUAAGGCAUAGUAUAAGUUUGAUCUUUUUUUUCCAUAUAUGUUGUACAGUAAUGCUUUGUUCAAGAGUGCAACAACUCUACUCUGUUAUUUGUAGUUUUACUAAUAUUUGAUUAUUUCGAGUGUUGACAUUGUCAAAUACGGAAUGUAAAGAUGAUGCUUAUCCACUAACACAUUUUCUAGACGCAACAAACUAAUCCCAAGAACUAUAGUCUCGUUAUUGUGAACAGAGAUGUGUAUUUAAUGCCCUGACUGGCUGACUUUUGCAUUGAGCCUAUUACAAUUCCACAAAGAAUCAACACACACGUACCUAAAAAAUAAUGCAAGUACUUGCUUUGGGUGAACAAGCAAAAUACCAUCAAGUUGACAUAAUAUCUCUAUUAUCAAAUAUUUAUGCUGUAGAAUAGUAAAGCUAAAUACUGUAGUUAAAAAAAAAAAAAGAAAAAGAUUUGAGUGGUCGCAUGAAUGAUGAAGCGCACAUCUACACCAUAGCAGUACCAAUGGACACAAGCUUCUAAAAACAUUGAUACGAGCCUGGUAAGCAUAUUAUUCCAGAGGCAUUUUCACCAAUAUUUUUCCGUCUUAAAAUUCAGCAUAAUAAUGAACCAUUCAAGCCCUUAUAUUCCAGUGGUUUAAGCACAGAUUUCAUAGCUUAGGCAACAUCAUGUAACAGACACUGGUUAAAUUGGCUACCUAAUCAAAUUGUAAUGGCAUAUUUUACAUUCAUAUAAGCUUUUCCCUAGAUUUUGAGAAUGCUGACAAUCAACCUAGUUUGGUUUGUAUCUUUUUUGUAUCUACAAUAAUAGAGAUAUACUAGAAUUGGCAUGUUGUUCCUUUUGUAUUCAAGGAAGAGCAUUUUCAGAUGGCCUUUUUCUCCAUUUAUUACAAUCGUUGUAUUUUUCCUUGAAACAUUUUAGUUAUUCCAAUUUUUAUUAGUAGUUUAGUCCACGUGUCAAAAGAAUCACUCAAACAAGUAAUGGAGUUACCAGGUAACAUUUGAAGCUUCUUGGCCAGAAUCUUCAUCCAACAUAAAUUUGUAGGACUUAGAUCAAAUUUGCAGCACUGAUGCUCAAUGACUGAUCUUUGAGAACUGUACUCUGUUCUUCUAUUUUGGGAAGACAAUGAGCUUUGAAUUUCUUGCCUUAGGACUGCACUCAGGACCUGCAAAGAUUCAUCUAGUUAUUGUGAUAGAAAUUGUUAGAGUCCACAUCUUAAUGGUUUCUUUUGGGUGAUAUUCUUUAUCUCAUAACUUCCAAAAUUGUUGGUCAAGUAUAUGCAUCUUAUCAUUAGUCAUAGCAUUGAUUAGAAAUUUUAGUGUUGGAAUACUGGAUGAGCAAAUUAAUUAUUGGGAAGAAUCAGGUGAAACUUUUAGUCCAAUCAAAUACCCACCAUGAAUUGAGUAUUACUGCAUUAUUAACUCCAUGAAGUUAUUUUGCAAAAUUCAGCUAGCGUAAUGCCACUGAAAUGCCAAAGAACAUGUUAAGUGAUUUUAAGUUACCAGUGAAUGAGUCGUUGUCUUUCCUUUUAAUAUCAAGCAUCUCUCAUUCACCAUAAGUAAUCUCGACCAUCCAUGUUGCAUUCUCUAUUUCAUUAUUGCAUCACAUUCUUAGAUAUCAAUUAGUUUUUACUUGAUUUUUUUUGCAAAUUAUAUAAUUAUGAUCCUUUAUUUCAUGCUUUAAUUUAGCCCUACAGCUUAAUUGUCUAUUUUCAUGCAUAAGUUUCUCUAACAGAGAAACAUUUCAUUUGCCUUAUAUCACAGCAAGCCCUGAGUUUGAUCUCAGGGCAUAUAUAGUUUUCAGAUUUCUUUGUUCAAGUCUGAAAUAAUUCCGAGACACCCUUGAUAUUCCAGAUGCCUCCAUGUUCUGAUUUUCGCUUUUUCUAAUACAAUUUUUAUUCUCAAGAUUUGACUGCCACAUUAAAAACUAUCAUCUUUAAAAAGUCUUAUAUUGCUAGCACAGAACUCAUGAAAAACACCUUAGCUAAUUCACCCUCCUAUAUGAUCAUUUUGACUUGAAACCUUUUACCUUGUCCUGUACCACAUUGUCUUCGAAAACUGUAGGACAUGCAAACAGAUGAAACAUACAAUUUUAAAGACUUCAUGACAACAAACAAUAUGGGUAUGUUUACUAUGUUUAUAUUUAUUACACCAGAAAACUUACUGCUCUUUCUGGUAUGCCAGGAGGACCAUCAAGAAUCUUAAUACGAGCCUUUGAUUCUUCGCACAUCUUUUUUAUGAACUCUCCCUUUCGACCAAUGAUAGCACCUACCUUGUGAGCAGGAAUCAAUAUACGGAAAACAGUUUCACCAGGCCAUCCAGGCCAUCUCUUUUCACCAACCCUAGGUACGGAAUUAUUAUCCUUUACAGGCUCCUCAUUGGGAGCUUCUAACUUCAUAUCUUUCACUUGUUCUUCAUCAUGUGCUCCCAAAUCUGUCUCGUUCCCUGCUUCUUCCUCAUGUGCUUCGAAAUUUGUAUCUUCAACUGGUUCUUCGUGAUGUUCUUCAAAAUUUGUAUCUUCCACCGGUUCUUCAUUGUGUGAGUUCUCAGUCACUCCACCCAGAUCUUCUUCGACAAAAUUCUCCAAAGACGCAUCCAUGAUAUCUGAAGAAGAGAAGGUGAGAAAUAAAUUAUUAAGUAAAAACAUAUAUCCUCAAGUAUGAGAAAAUAGCAAGAUUAUGUAUUAGUAAGGGAAGAAAAGAUAUACACUAGAAGAAGAAUAAGCAAUCAUUUCUUCACCAAAACGAAUAAGAUACUGAUAAAAUUAUUGGCUCAUAAACUUCAACUCGCCCUCGGAGUAACAAAGGCCCACUUGAAUGGUAGCUCGUGCAAAGUGCCGCAAGGCAUUCUUCUCAUGGAAAGCUAGCAAAUACAUUAUUUAAAUGCAUCAUGAUAUGACUGAGACUUCAAAUGUUUUUCCAAUCGUACAGUAGCUUAUUUAUCCUCGGGUUUUUAAGGCACCUGGCUUAGGUCUCAAUGUGCAUUCAUUAUCUUAGACUACUAUAAUAACUUUGGGGAUUGAGAAUUCUGGAGAAGGGUGGUCAACUGAUUCAAUAUUCCAAGAUUUUGAUAAUACAGCAAUUAACACUUGCAAAGUUAACUCAGUAUCUAAUUAGUAUCCCAGGUUUAGAGUCUUUAGACUGUCACAGUAUAUACAGUUGGCACUAGUAUUUCAAAAUCUAGGAUUUAUUCUUUUUUACGGUACUUCAUAAUUAGCUCAAAUUUCACUUGUUUGCUAGAUAUGGUAAAGUGCAACACCUCUAUAGAGAACUGUAGUUAUUACAUUUCCAUUCAAACGGGCAUUUUUCAGUAUGCCAACUUCUUCGACACGCGACCAAACCCAGAACUUUUCGUGAUCAAAUUAAUUAUUAACUCAUUCUCUUCUCAGCCGCCACGCUUCUUAGACACACGAACAACCCCAGCAACCAAAACUCCAUAAUUUUUUGCGGAUUCAACAUCACAAACAUCACAAACCAAACCCUAACAAGAACAAUUACGCCCUAUUCCAAAAAAUAUGUCAAAGAAAGACUUAACCCUAGAACAUACUUCACAAAUAGCGCAAAAUCACAGAAAAUAGAACCUGGAAACUCUAUAUUACAUCGCAAAGAAACCGGAUCGAGAAGAACCGCAACAGCACUAGUAACCCGAAACAAUAAAACACACACCAAAGUUCCGGGAUCACAAGAGCGAUCUCAAAACCCUAGCGAUCGAGUUCUGAAAAGAAAAACCUAGAGAGAGGAAGAGAGGGAGAUUAGGGGGAGAAGGAGGAGGGAGAGGAGGAGAAGGGAGCUCACUUUUGGGAUCGAUUAGGGUUUGCUUUCGAGAGAGGCGCCGCCGCAGAGCGGAGAGAGGAGAGAGAGAGAGAGAGAGAGAGAGAGAGGGUUUUGUGAGGCCGAGAGCGCGAGUGCGUGGUAGGGAUCAGGUAUUAAAACCGAGAGACCAUCGACCUCAUUUUAGUACACGUUCGGGUUUGGUAGGUUAAAAUGUUCGCAUAACCCGUCACCUAUUAUUAGUUCGGUAUAAGGCCCCUGUAGGAUAUAUUCGGCUUCUCUAUUUGCAUUACUGAACUGAAGAGAAUAAAAUGAAAAAUAAAAUAAAAUGAAGAGGCAAUUGCUUAUAUACUCCUGAAAAUUUUCGACUUUUUGAUUUACCUUUUUUACAAGACUAAUGUUGAAAAUACUCUUUUUACGUUCCAAUCUAUUUCUAAUAUACUCCUAGAAUUAAAAUCUAUUACUUAACUCUGUUAUCUCUGUAAAAUUAUUAUUUUGCCCUUUCAAAUAUACUAUUCCACCAUCACUGACUUUCUAAUUUGCCAUUAAAGUCAGGGGCACAAAAGGUACCGUCACCGACAUUUCUUAUUUGCCCUUUAAGUUAAGGGCAAAAUUAGCAUUUUAAUUUUUUUCCACUGUAGUAGAUAUUUAACUCACAUUUAACCUAAGUUAACUUAACAGGAUAUAUCUGCAAUAUAUUUUGCAAUAACGGUGGAAUAUAUGAGGGAUAUUUUAGAAAGAAAAAAAAAAAGAUAAAUCGGAUAUUUUCAAACGUAUGAGGGGUAUAUAGGCAAUUAUCCCUAAAAUUAAAAAUAGGGAUUAGGAAUGGAUUGAGAAAUAUAAUUCAACUCAGUAUUUGGUGCUUAUGUAAUAACACUUUGAAUUGAAUUAUCUAUACUCGUACUAUGCUAUAUCAAUAUUUUUUCAAAAGAAUUGUCUCUUUUUUAUCUUCAUCACCUAACAAUAUGUGCUAUCGGAUCUAAUUCGUUUAACAAUACGUGCUAUCUGAUCUAAUUCGUUUUUUGAUUAAUAUCUCGCAGACGUUUCACUGUUUUCAAAAUUCACCCUUUUACAUAUGUCUGUAUAAUUCAACAGACUUUUCAAUCUCCCGUCAUCCCUCUCUACUCUUUUCACGUAUUACUUUUGCCUCUCUAGUCUACCGCACCUCGCCAGCACCUCAUCGAUAGUCUAUGCGUAAGCUGUCAUCCUCAUCGACGUAUUGUCAGCAGCCCAUAUUUCAUUGCCGGCACAUUGUGAACACUCUACGUGUAGGUGCAUCAUCUAGAUAUUCUCUGUCCUUACCGUCGCUGUCACUCGCAUGUCGACGGCCAUCCACACAUCACCGGCAUAUCGUUGACGCUCCGCGCGUAGGUCCUCUCUCAAUCUUUCCUUUUUUUUGUCAUCUACUACUAUACAAUUGUGUUUAUUUAUCCAAAAAAAAAAAUUGAUACUCAUAAUUUUGGCACGAUCAAGAUUGGUUUUUAAGUGUUUUUUUUAUAUUCUAAUUUUUCUGUGCGAUCAAGGUCUACUAUACAAGUUUAUUAAUUUGACAGCGUCUAACUUUUUAUUCAUAAAUUUUUUUUAUAUACCAAUGUUAAUGUACAAAAAAAAUAUAUUUUGUGGUAUUCAAGUUGAACCACCAGCUCAAAUGAGUCAAUAAUGAUUUUAAAGUUUUUCGGGAUCAAACCGAAUCAGUUUAGGAAAUUAGGUUACAAUCCGAUAGAUUCGAUAGACCUAUUUGACAUAUUUUUGAAAUACUGAUUUCUAUUAAAAUUAAGAAAACUUUUGAAAGCAUUUUACCUCUAAACUAUAUAGAAACUCCCUCAAGUAUAUAUAAGCCAUUUUGAAAUAACCCAUAACUUUUUUUUUUGGUUAUUGGCAUCAUGAUAAAUUUUAAAACUUUUUAAGUUAUUUUAUUCAAAAAACUUAUGAAUUUUUUUAUUUUUUUAGAAUUUUAGUAAAUUAAAUAGUUUCAAUUAUUCUUUUAGCACAUAAAACUACAAUAAUUAAUAAUUGAUAGCUAAAGAAUAAUUAAAUUAAAUAAUAUUUAAUUUUAACUUGCUGGGAUAAAUAAAAAAAAUACUACAAAUUAGAGGGUAUCAAUAGGAAAAAAUGUAAGGUUCAGAGACCUAUUUCAAAAUAUUCUGUUAUUUGGUGAAUUCUUUAAUUAGAAGAGUGAAAGAUAUAAUCCUGUAUAUAGAGUCCUAUAUAUAGAAUGUAGAGGUAGCACUAUUUUUUUUAAAAAAAUUUAAUAAUGACCAACCUUUUAAUUAAUAAAAUAUAUUCAAAAAAUUACACUUAUAAUAUAAAAAGGACAUGAGUUCUAUAACUCAAAAGAGAUUCAUAUAAAUUUAGAAUGUUAAUCUGCAAUGUUUAAUAAUUUAUCAUGUAAAUUUUGUGUGAUGCAUCAUCAUACACAUCAUAAAUUUUCAUUUAGAUUAAAAUGUUUAAGAACUCGUGAUUCAGAUCUUUUCGACAUCAAUUCAGAUACAAACAAUUAAAUAUAUAUAUAUAUAUAGAGAGAGAGAGAGAGUCCAGCUACUAUACUUUUAUGAGUAUAUUGGCUCCCUUAUACUCAUAAGUUUUGGGCCCUUAAAUUAUUUCAUUAAUCAUUUUCAUCCAUUAGAUCAUACUAUUUAACCAGCUACCCACUCAACCCUAAGGGACCACUAUUAUUUUAAGUGGGGACCACCAUCAUCCUAACCACACAUCCCAUCAAUCAACGGUUAAAAAUUUAUGAGUACAAGGGAGUCUAUACUCAUAAGAGUAUAGUAGCCCCAGCCUAUAUAUAUAUAUAUAUAGAGAGAGAGAGAGAGAGAGAGAGAGAGUAGGGCUGCCGUGCUCUCAGGAGCACGGAAGCCUCCGUGCUCCUGAGCUGUUUUCGAUGAUGGAAUUUUCGAAUCGACGAUCGGCUCUGUUAGACUUGAUCUAGGGCAUUUGAAGUUUCUAGAAAAUAAUUUUUGCGAUAUUUUGAUAUCAUUUACCUAUUGAUCGAAAGAACUCAAAAUCAAUAAUUUUUAAUGGUUGAUAUCUGCCAUUUUCAAGUUUAACGGUAUAGAAGUAUUCAAACCAAAUUAAAUUUUGAUAUAAAAUUCUUUAUACUAUCUACAACAAGAUCAAUAUUUCUGAUCGAAAAUUUUCGUGCUAUAUUGCCACUUUUUAUAUGAUUUUUAUUUUCAACCGUUAAAAAUUAUUGAUUUUGAAUCCUUUCGAUUGCUAGGUAAAUGAUAUCAAAAAAUCGCAAAAAUUAUUUUCUAGAAACUUCAAAUCAAGUCUAACGAAGCCGAUCGUUUGAUUCGAAAAUUCACCAUCGAAAACGGCUCCAGGAGCACGGAGGCCUCUGUGUCCUGAGAGCACAGCAGCCUAUAUAUAUAUAUAUAUAUAUAUAUAUAUAUAUAUAUAUAUGUUAGUAAGUAAAAUUGCAUAAAUGUAAAAAAAAUUAUAUAUGUUAGUAACGAAAAUUACAUAAAUUUGCAUAAAAAAAGCUACAAAGAAUCUAAAACUACUUACAAUACUUUCUUGCCACUUUAUAUUAUUCGAGAAUUUGUUGAAUGACAAAAUAUUUAAGUAUGAAAUUUAAAUACGAAAUUUAAAUAAUUAAAACUGUUAUUUCUCAAGUUAAUAAUAAAAAUAUGCAUUAUUUUUAAAAAUUUUAUAAAGUUUAAAAUCACAUUUUAUUUUAUUUUUUUUAAAAUAAAACUGGUUUGUUCAUAUAAAAGCAAUCACUACAGAGGAAAUGGUUUGCUCAAACAAUAAUUACAGACAAGGAAGACAAGGAAUUGAAAUAGUUUACUAGCUCAUAUAUCCAAAACUAUCUCAAAAAAAAUGAGUAAAAGAGAAUGAAAAUAGUUUGCUCGCUCAUAUGUUCAAAUUCUUUCACAGUUAGAAAAGAGCGUGUAAAUUCUAUAUCCUAUAAGUAAAUUAUUUACUGAAAGCUUAAAUCCUAAAUUCUAUUAGACUUCUCACCCACGGCCGGCAAGCCUCCUCUGGAGCCACACCAAUCUACACCAAUCCGUAGAAUGCCGCAAUUCCCAACACUCCGCCGCCAAUCACUGUGGCCGGCGUAGCCUUCUGGUUCACCGCGCCCAUUACUAAUUUUGGCUAUGUUCGCAUAUUACUUCCUUCUCUCCUUCUGUUCUCUCAAUCUGGUUUAUUUGCUUAUAUUUUUCCAAUUGUUGACAAUGUCAUUUAUUAAUAUACUAUCGUAUAAUAUAAUGGAUAUCUUAAAUCUCAUUCUCAGAAAAUAUUGUCUAUCUUAAAGCUUAUACUUUAUAUUUCUAUUCAAACUGAACUUAAAUCAAAUGCUAAUAAAUAACAUGAUCUCUAUACCUCCCAUUCAGCUGUUUUUAAACAACAUGAAAUCUUUCGGUAAGAAAAGUAGAAGUUAUACAUUUAGCCAGAUGUAGAUGAAUAAGGUACCGUAUACGUUUGAUCUUUUUUUUUUUCAUAUAUGUUGUACAACAAUACUUUGUUCAAGAGUUCCACAACUCUACUAUGUUAUUUAUAGUUUUACUAAUAUUUGAUUAAUUCGAGUGUUGACAUUGUCAGAUACAGAAUGUAAAGAUGAUGCUUAUCCACUAACACAUUUUCUAAGCACCAUAUACUAUCGCACUAUUUUGUGCUCAUUUUUUUCUGUUGUAACUGUCAGAUACAGAAUGUAAAGAUCUCUUCAAUAUCAAUUCAGGUACAAAUAAUUAAUCAUUAAAAAAUAUAAGCUAAAUUACAGAAAACCCCUCUGUCAAAACGCCAUUUUUCACCUUCCCCUCCUGUCAUUUAAAAACCUACACUUUGCUCCCUUGUAAAAUAAAAAAUGUGCACUUUGUCCCCUAUCGUUAGUGAUUCGUUAGAGUUCCGUUAUAAAAUAUUUUUUUAUACCAAAAAUACCUCUCCGCCCUCUUCCAUGUUGCUUCGCCGCCUCGCUGCCUUGCCUUCCUCCACUGCCUCGCCCUCGCCCACGCCCACAUUCCCGUCCGCACCCACAAACACCCAUUCGCCCUCCUUUGCCGCCUCGCCUUCGCCAUCGUUGCCGUAACCCACCUCUCCAUCCACCCCUACCAAGAUUUCCACCCUACUGUUGCCGAAAUCGAGGAACGGCGAGGGUGCAGGAGGAGAGGGGAGAAGGUGGUGAAGAAAAUGAAGAGAAACCGCAGCCGAUUGAGGCGUAAACCACGGCUGAUCGAGGCUGCUGUUGAGGAAGAUGAGGGAGGAGACGACAAUGGUGAGAGGGGCAAAAUGGUCACUUUAUCAUCAUAGUAUACACCGUACCCCCUGUGAACAUUUUUCAUUUUACAACGGGGCAAAGUAUAGGUUUUUAAAUAAUAGGGAGGGAAAGUGAAAAAUCACGUUUUGAUAAGGGAGUAUUCUGUAAUUUAGCCAAAAAUGUAUAUAUAUGUUAUUAACUGAAAUUACAUAAAUGCGAAGAAUAUAUAUAUAUAUAUAUAUAUAUAUAUAUAUAUAUAUAUAUAUAUAUAUAUAUAUAUAUAUAUAUAUAUAUAUAUNCAUGUAUAAAGAAAUAAACAAUUCCCAUGAUAACAUUUCAAUAUACAUAGCUUGCACGAGGACAAGCAACAGGAAUAAGUGAAACUGAACGUAACUAAACAUGUAUUCACUGUAGUUGUAAAACUUUAAAACUGAACUAUACAUAACUGAACAACUGAAAUAUUUAGUUAUUUACAUGCUCUUUUAUACAUUCAUUUACAAAUCUCUAUACAUCAAAAUGUAUCACAUGAACCCAAAAUGGUAUACCACUAGAACUCGGGUGUCCACUAGCUAGGCUGCUGGGCUCUUGCCGAGAUCCUCGGCCACACCGCUCGCGCUGGAACCUGUAUGAUUAGUGAUAUGAGAACUACUAAAAGUUCCCAGUGGGUUCGGCCGCCGAUCUCGCCGACUCACCCACUAGGUCUAUUCAGGCAUAUGUAGGCAAGAAAAGUAAACAGAUAGUAACCAACUAUAAUAUGUAACUACUAUAAUGCCUGUACAAAUCUGAAAGGAACAAUAUAUAUUAACUGAUAAAUAUGCAUGCAUGCUUUAAUUGAUGCUAUCCAAUCAAACUGGUUAACCCUUUUGGUUAACAAUAACUCACCGACGAUAUCCCAAAUAUCGGGGAGACGCAAGCUACAUCCCGACGGGACUGUCAACUGGGGGAGACGCAACCUCCUGGUCCAGUUAAGAUGACUACUUCGGAGCUCAUCGUUCAAAGAGGAGCGACCUUUCUUGAACAUAAAACUGAUGUGAGUAUGAUCUGAUCUUCCUUUAGAAGAUCCAAUGAAAGCAAUGCCACACUUUACUCUAACUAGCCCUUUAUGCUAGUUUCAUGGUUUCAUGUUUGAUGCUAACCAAAUCUCUAGUCAUAAUAUUACCAAGUUCACUAUUGUUAUAGUCCAUGCAUUCAUAGGGUUCUAUGUCCACAUACUAAUGUUCAUAGGUUCUUAAUAUUGAUAGAAAAUCAAAUAUUCAAUUAUCACUUGCAUAAUGCCAGUACCUUAUAAUGUAUGAAUACGAGUAAUUCAUAUAUAAAUAUGCUCAAUGAAAUAUCAUAAACAUAAAAUGGGAUUCAAAGAUUUCGGAUAGCACCACCCACGCUAACAGCUAGUAUCACGUCUCGUACUAUGUCAAGAAUUUCCAAUGCUGAAAUUCUGCACUUUACUUUCUCUUUGUGCAACCACUAUAAGCAUAGAACAAUUAGUUCUUAUGCUUAGAACUCUUCUAGAGUAACUAAUCUAACUCCUAAUUAUAACAUAAUUAUCUCGGUUUGUCACUUAAUCAAUUUAAUUUCAGCUUUAUCAAUCACUAAUUCCAUGCUGAAAUUUGCCUUUGUCUCACUCUUUUCCAGCUCACUCAAAAUCUGCGGUAAUACAAUAAGUGACCUUACUUCAUCCCAAUUAAAGAAGAGCAGCAACUUACUCAAUUAAGGUUUUACUUAACUCCUUCUUUAAUUUGGCUGCCUGGAAUUCCUGAAGUCACUACAGCUUCACUAAGUUUUCAAUCUUCAAUUUCUAAGUAGUCUCAGCUGAAGCUUCCACUUGGUCCCUCUGCUGCAGUCCAAGAUCAACUCUCAAUUAAUCACUAUUCCUAUGGGUUAAAUGCAUACAGGUCCUUGCAAACAUACCCAAUUGCGGAUAUAUCCCUGCAAAAUGGAAACUCCAUAAGUUGUCCCUGCAAAAGUUCAAAGUUAUGCAGAAUUGUCCCUACAGUUAACAUCCGUUAGUGAGCUGUUAAUUUUCUAACAGUGGAUUCGUGAAAUGACAAUUUUGCCCCCACAAAUAUAUCCCUCCAAAAGUCCUAACUGAUAAAUAUUUGCAAAAAUAUCCUCGCAAAAAUACAAACGGUCAUAUUUGUUCUUAUAAGUGAAAUGUCCAUUUUGCCCUCACAAAUAUAUCCCUCCAAAACCCCAAAUAAUUAAGAAAGCUGUACAUAAAUGACCCCAAAAUCCCCAAAAAUGACCCUAACGGUCAUAUUCUUCCUCUAUAAAUUUAUCACUCCAUUGCAACAUUUCAUACAUCUCAUUUUUUGUUCUUUUCUCCUUUAUUCAUACACUAUUUUUAUUCUUCUCUUAUUUUGAUCAGUUAGAUCCCAGCAAUUUUUAUUUUUUAAUCUUUUUUUUCUCCUGUAAAUUUUUAUGAUGAGUGAAAGAUCAGCGGAUUCUUCUUCGAGCAACCAAAUCCCCAAGUGUGAUUGCUUUAAAACUUGUAGAAUAUGGGUUUCAAAGCAACCGCACACUAGAGGUCGUCGGUUCUAUGGAUGUCCAAACUGGGGGGUAAAACAAUUUCUUUUGCAUUAUCUGCAGUAUUUAACCCUAACUUUUACUCAUUUACUACUUUUUAGUUUUAUACUUUACAGAGUAAUGAGCACUGUAAUUACUUUGGUUGGAUUGAUGAUUUACACCACAAUACUGUUGAUUUGAAAUACCAAGUACAAGCAUUUCAAGAAGCAGUGGAGCAUCGUAUUCAGAAGUUAGAAAAGAAAACUUUAUUUCUACUUAAGCUGCUUGUAGGUUUAGUAUUGGUUAAUAUCUUGUUUAGCUUGGCAAUGUAAUAAAAUGUGAGUGAUAAAACAGUAAUUCUUGUACUUGUUGUAAUGCAUUAGAUAGUGAGUGACAAAACAGUUUUAUUUCUACUUACAUUUUGUAGAGUAAUGAAAGCUUUGAAAAAAAUCUGUUCUACAAAGUAUCCGAAGUCAAUAUUGUUCCAUACAAACAUAAUAUCCACAUUCAAUGUUAUUCCAUACAAACAUAGUAUCCACAGCUCUUGCAUCAAGUUUCAUAUCCAUUCAAAUCAUUAUUUUGCAUACAAAUCAUCCAAGGGUCGCAAUCAUUUCAUUUCAAGUAUUAUCUAUUCAAACCAAAACAACUGCUAUUCAAGUUUCAAACCAGUACAAAAAUUGUUAUUGCAUCAAGUUCCAUUUCAAGCACCCACUCUUUCAAGCAUCAAGUAGACCAAAUUCAAAUCAAAAUAUUGCAUACAACCAUUCAGAGGCUGAUUGCACUUCAAGUACCCACCAGUUCAAGUAACUACCAAAAUAAGGCUAUCACUACAUACAUUCAAAUCUACCAACAUAAGACUGUCACUACAUCCAUUCAAAUCUACCAAAAUAAGGCUUUCACUGCCAUUGCAUGUUUGUCUAAACCAAAUCUUAAUUUUCUAGACUACCAAGUGCAUCAAUUUCAGAAAUAGUACUUCCAUCUUGAGACUGUAAGUGUCUUGAUCUCGAUGCUACCCUCUUUCCUCUACGCCUGCAGUUUUUAUAUAGUUAAUAUGGUAGUAAAGACAAUAAAUUGAAGGAAAGUGAACAUUGUUAGUCACCAUAUUACCUUUUGCCACUACUAAUACUUGUUUGAGAUGGUGGUUCAGAGUGCGGAUCCCCUGCUUGCUGAUUCUCUGCUUGAAUUGGUGCUCUAGAGUGCUGAUUACCUACUUGUGGUGGUCCUGUAGGCUGUUGAUUCCCUGCUGCAGCAGGCUGUUGAUUCGCUGCUUGAGAUGGUCCUGCAGCAGGCUGUUGAUUUGCUGCUUCAGAUGGUCCUGCAGCAGCCUGUUGAUUCACAUCGACAGGGUUCUUGCAUGUUUUUGCACGGUGGCCUAACUUAUUGCAUCUUUUGCAUCGAUGUCUCUUCCUGAUUGCCAUCUCAUCCGAUGCUCUAAUUCGCUUGUUUCGAGGUCUCCCAGCUGGCCUUUUUAAAAUAGGAGGUAAUACACGAAGACCGAUAUCAAUUUUUACCCAUUGAUCACAACUGGGUAAUGGUGCAAUGGAACUAGCAUAGGCCUCCUUAUAUUUGGCCACCGUAAAAUAUGGGUGCACAUAAUUUUCCCACUUUUCAUGUUUUAAUUUACCUAUUACUGACAUUGCAUGAAUGCAUGGCACACCUUUCACUUGCCAUAACCUGCAGCUACACUGCAUAUCAUGUAGUCUCACCUCAAACCUUGAUUGCGGUCCAAUAACUUCUGCUGAAAAUUCAUCACUCCAUAACACCUCAUAUUGACCCAAACCCUAAAAUUGUGAAGAUAGAUAGCAUAAAUCAGUGUACUGCAUUAGACUUAGCUUAAAGGUAAAGAAAAAAAUCAGUAAAGUAAACUGCAUUAGAUAGCAUAAAUUAGAUAGCAUAAAUAGGCCAAAGUAAUUAAACUAUAGCCUAAAGGUAAAGAAAAACUCAGUGUACUGCAUUAGAGAGUAUAAAUCAGUGUAUUACCUUGCUUAUAUUGUUUACAUAUUUGAGAACCGUUGGUACAAUUUCUGAAUCCCAUUUUCUUGCUCUAUUUCUUCUAUCCUCCAUCUUAACCAUUAUUUUUUGGCGGAUAGUAUCAAGCAUAUCAAUCAGUGGUCUAUGCCUAUCAUUAGAUAGCCAUGCGUUGAAUGAUUCAAAUAUAUUGUUAGUCAAGUAAUCACACUUAGCAAUGGUUCCGAAUUUACUUCGACUCCACAAAUAACUGUGGUUUUGCCGCAAGUAUUCAAAUGCCAUCGGAUUUGUUUCAUACACCUUAGCGAUGCUAGUUUCGUAAACAUUAGGUGUAUAUGCUCUUGCUGCAGCCCACAGUGAGUCUCUAUAGCAGUCCCCACGAAAUUUUUUCUUGAAAUUGGCAUAAAGAUGGCGCAUGCAUUCUCUAUGUUCAACUCUUGGAUAUACAACUUGAACGGCCUCAUCUAAGCCUUUUUGUCUAUCUGAUGAGAAUACAAGGCCUUCGAAAUCUCCUAUGGCUGUCUUCAACCCAUGAAGAAACCAUUCCCAACUAUUCGAGUUCUCCGACUCCACAACACCAAAAGCUACUGGAAAAAUUGAGGAGUUUCCGUCAAUACUUGUGGCCGAUACCAAAACUCCUCUAUGCUUUCCUUUGAGAUGGCAUCCAUCUAAUGCAAUGUAAGGUCUACAUCCAUUGAGGAAUCCUUGUAUGCAUGGACCAAAUGCAAGAAAAACUCGCUGAAAAUGAUACUCUCCGUUAAUCACUUCCAGCUUUACCUCCACGUGGCUGCCAAGAUUUCUUCUCACAAUUUCCUCUUUAAAAUCAAAGAUUCUUUGAUACGAAUACUCCCAAUGCCCAUGAAUCUUAGACAAUGCCAUUUCUUUUCCCCUAAAUAUCUUGGAGUAGGUCAAGUCCACGUGAUAUUUUUGUUGCAGUCUCUUCCGCAGUUCAGAUGUAGAUAUAUCUCCUUCCAACCGUAGCCACCCAAACAGAUUAUAACCACCAAGAUCUAUCAUCAACGAAUGCUUCUUACCAUCACAAUAUCUCAAUCCACAUGCAGUUUUUACUGUUUUAAAAUACCCAGCAUAAUUGAACUUCACUUGAAAAAAACCUUUCUCCUCCAUAUCUGGUAUCAAACUUUCACUAUAGAAACAAAAUAAAAUACAAAAUGACUAGGUAUUAUACUCGAAUGCUCUAUGAAAAUAUGUCUAUAUACUCGAAUACUCUAUGAAAAUAUGUCUAUAUACAUCUAACUUGCAGUUACCCUCAAAAGAUCACUUAUUUCAAAAUUAACCUAAAAUACAAGAAAUUGUUUCAAAAACUAACAAUCAGAUAGACCAAGUUUUGAAUUUAUACUAUGUAAUGCACUCACCUUGCUCUCAUUGAAAAAAGAAGAGCAUUACACCUCGUUGAUGAAUAUGAUGGAUAAAACCCUAGUAAUGGUAGAUCUGAAGCUAGUAUAAGGGAGUGAGAGGAAGGGGAAGAGGAAGGUGAGCAAUAAACCUCGUUGAUCUGAACCUCGUUGUUGCCCGAGGAAGACGAGCACUAAACCUUCUCGAUCGCGGGCGCACUCCUUGCAUCACUGUCGCUCUCCUCGGGCGGGCGGAACACCUGAGGGCUCUCCUGGCAGUUCCAAUCAACUAGGGUUAAGGGCCCACUAUGGUGGUUAGUUAAGUUAAUAGAAUAUAAAAUAACAUAAGAGGGGCAAAAUAGUCAAUUCACAUUAUUAACUAUUCAUGGUUAAGUAGUUUAACUCUGGUUAACAAACUUUCUCUAACAGACUCUAACAGUAGGGACAAUUCUGCAUAAAGUUGAACUUUUGCAGGGACAACUUAUGGAGUUUCCAUUUUGCAGGGAUAUAUCCGCAAUUGGAUAUGUUUGCAAGGACCUGUAUGCAUUUAACCCUAACUUUAAUUACUUAGAAUUACCUUCAAAACAAUUAACCAUAAUCAAUCAGGAAUUUAGCAUCAAUUUACCAGAAUUCGAACUUCUUCAAGGGUUUUUUCUCAGCUGCACUUACUAUGCAAUAGCUCUAAUCAUUUCAGCUCCAAAUCUGAACUUUCAGCAGCAAAACUCCAUAUAGGUCUCAUUUCUGCAGCAAUUAAUUAACUAGACCUCAUAAUAACUAAAUUUACCUUAAUUUAGAUGCUCUAGCCAAGUUGUUCAGCAACUCCAACAGCAGGAAUUCCUUGCUAGGAAAUCCCUUUCAGUUCGGACCAGCAAGGAGAUCCCUUAACGCAUCAAUUUCAUCAACCUUCCUCAGCUCGGAUCAACUUCUCUACUUGAACCAGCAAGCUACAAGGCUGCCCCACUUCUUCUUUGUUUAUUCAGCUACUAGCUAAAAUUCCUCAGCUGAUUUCUUACUUGGAUCAGCUUCUUUUCUUAUCCUCAAUCCGCAGCCCUCCAAGCUGCCAGAACUUCCUCAACUCCUCAAGCCUUUUCUUCACUACUCUGCUCCUAAGGCUGAGAGAAAAAAAGAGAGAAAAGGAAUAAAUGGAAGAGAUUAAAAAGCCUGCUGGAUACCUGGACAUGUGUACUUCAACUGAGGCUAAGAGAUAAGGAUAAAAAAAUUGCAACUUAACCCCCAAUUUCAUCAAAAGUGCAUGACAAUCCUGCAAUUUACACUUUUGUCCUUGCACUAACUAGAACCUGGCAGCAGCUGCUUUAAAGCUUAUUUUGCACAUCCAACUCACUUCAAGUCCACUCAAACACUUCCAAAUUACCCUAAUAUACCUCUACAAGUUGUCAAAUUAAUUUGGAAGUGAUAAAUUUUUAUUUUAGCAUUAUUGCGAUCAAUUUGAUCCCAAUUAGCUACAUAAUGGAAAUUCGAUAUAUUAUAAGCACCAAGUUAUUCGUGCUAUUAGUUUUUUAGUCCCUGGAUUGAGAAAUGUGCGGUUAUAAUUGAGAAAUGUGCGGUUAGAAUGAUGUGGGCCCCCUAGGGUUGAGUAAGUAGUAGGUUGAAUAGUAUAAUCUAACGGGUAAAAAUAAUCAAAGGGGUUAAUCUAACGGCAGAAAACUUGAUAGCACCAAGUGCUUGGUACUAUCGAUAGCAUAGCAGCCGGACUCUGUAUAUAUAUAUAUAUACAUAUAUAUAUAUAUAUAUGUAUAUAUAUAUAUAUACAGAGUCCGGCUGCUAUGCUAUCGAUAGUACCAAGCACUUGGUGCUAUCAAGUUUUCUGCCGUUAGAUUAACCCCUUUGAUUNAUAUAUAUAUAUAUAUAUAUAUACAUAUAUAUAUAUAUAUAUGUGUGUGUGUGUUAGUAACUGAAAUUAUAUAAAUGAGAAUAAAAAAAAGCUAUAAAGGAUCUAAAAUUGCUUACAAUACUUUCUUGUCAUUUUUUAUUCUUCGAGAAUUUGGGCGAUUUGGCUGGCUGGCACAAAAUUUAAAUACGAAAUUGAAACAAUUAAAACUUUUCAUUCUCAAGUCAAUAAAAAAAAUUAUUAUUUUUAAAAUUUUUAUAAAGUAUAUAUUUUAAAAUUCAUAUGUUAUAAUGAUUAGGACGUAACUAUCAUUACUCUCGCCACGCAACAAUACGUAUUGGUUUUCCUUGAGAGCAUUCUUUAGAUAAAAAUAGUAUACAUAUGAAUAACAGUAUAAACAAAGUGAUUAAUUCUUAACACCGAUCACGCACUCUGUGAUGGCUAAAACAACCUCAAAGACCCUAGUUGGAGCUAAGUUUUAAUUUAUUGUCCCUACUGCAGAAGUGAAACUCGUGAAAUUAAGUAUUAGAAAUUAGGAUGUUAACCGACCGUCCCUAGAGCAAGUGGCAAAAGGCUUGGUGGUUGGUACCCGAGACCUAAGUUCGAAUCCUAGUUGAUUUACAUUUCCAGCUAAGUUUAGUUCUAAAUGAAAUAAACGAAGCGGGUAGCGUGCUACCUAUCUCUCAAAAAAAAAAAAGAAGAAAGAAAUUAGGAUGUUAAUCUGCAAUGUCCAAUAAUUUAUUAUGUAAAUUUUGUGUGAUGUAUCAUCAUAUACAUCACAAAUUUUCAUUUAUGCCAAAAUGUUUAAGGACUCGUGAUUCAGAUCUCUUGGACAUCAAUUCAGGUACAAACAAUUGAUUUUAUAUAUAUAUAUAGGCUGAGAGUAUAGAGCCCUUUGUAUUCAUAAGUUUUCGAUCGUUUAGAUGAAAAAAAUAUGCGGUUAGGAUGAAAGUGGUUACGGUUAAGUUGAUAGUGGGCCCCCUAGGGUUGAGAGAGUUGUUGGUUGAAUAGUAUAAUCUAACGGGUGAAAAUGAUUAAAGGGUGGAUCUAACGGCCAAAAACUUAUGAGUAUAAUCGGCACUAUACUCAUAAGAGUAUAGUAGCCGGACUCUAUAUAUAUAUAUAUAUUAGUAACUAAAAUUGUAUAAAUGUAAGUAAAAUUAUAUAUGUUAGUAACAAAAAUUGCAUAAAUUUGAAUAUGAAAAGGCUACAAAAAUCUAAAACGGCUUACAAUGGUAUCCGUAGUAAACAGGCCUCGUUGCCAUUCAUUUAUUUUCGAUAAUAGAGCCUCCAAAUCGACGAUCAGUACCGUUGAAUAUGAUCCAUACCACGUGGUAGAAACCAAAUUUCAAAAUUUUUUCGAUAUCAUUAUCCUAAUGAUCAAAGAGUUUCAAAAUUUGAUAUUUUAAUGGUUGAUAUGAGAAGUUUUCUCACUUAACGGUGUAAAGAUACCCAAAUCAAAUACUAAACGAUGUAAAACUGAAAAUGUGAGAGAAAGAGAGAUAUCAGCGUACUUUUAAUCUUAAUAGUGCUAUGAGUUAAUAUAUCGCUCUGCAUUAAUCAAACAAAUUCUAUUAAAAAUUGAUCUAAUUCGAUCGGAUGCUCUGAAAAACUUGGUAAAGCUGUUGCAGGUUCGGACAAGAAAUUAAACAAAUAAUUCAUACAUACCUGAAUUUCUUGGUAAAGCUAUUGCAGGUUCUUGUGCUCCCGUAUCAAAAUGGAAAUUGUGUGCGCCGCUGUACGAAGUCUCUCGAUGUUGGCCGCCAUCUCUAUCUCCUCUCUCUCUCGCCUGCUCUGUGCAUGAAGACUUCCGGUAUCUCAUUUCCCUCUCUCCUGCUAUCUCUCUCUAUCUCCUGGUCUCUUUCCAUUUCAAUCUCGUCUCUCUCCCCCUCUUUUGCUCUUUCUCUCCCGUGCUCUCCUUCUCUUGCUCUCUCUCUCCCGUGCUCCCCCUCUCUUUAUCUCUUUCUCCUAGUCUCUCUCUACAUACGUCUCUCUCCUCUAAUCUCUUUUGGCCCCUCGUGGUCACUCUCUUCAGGAAGCGCUCUCUCUCUUUUUUUUAAUUCAGCAACGAAGAGGAAGAGAGACCGGGACAUGUGGCGCGAAUGCAAGUUUUAUAAAGAAAUAUUUAUCUAUAUACCCCUCAAUUUUUUCAAAAUAUCUUAUGUAAUCCUUUUCUUUAUUUCAAAUUAUAUCUCUCAUUAUAUUUUUCUCGUUAUUGAAUUUUCUACCAAGUGUAUGUUGGUAAUUUAUAUGCCAAUCAUAAAAAUGCAAAAUAUAAACGUCAUAGAAGAAUAGAAUUUAUAAAUCAAUUGUGCAAUUAAUUUUUUUUAGUCAAAUCAAGAAAAAAUGAGAUUUUUUUUUAAAAAAAAACUUCAAAAAAGAAUUUAAAAAAUAUGAUUAGCGCUAUUGCUUCAAAAUGCAUUUAUUCAACAAAUUUUAAAAAAAUUAAACUCAACUAAUUAUUAAAUAUUUCUGAAUAUUUAUGAAAAUUAGUAAAGUUUAAANCCUACAUGCCUCGUUUUUUGGAAACUUAGAAGAUGAAGAUAUCACAUAUUCGAUGUUUUAGUAUUUCAUUAAUUGAGGAAAUUCCAAUAUUUUUGCUUCAAAAUGCAUUUAUUCAACAAAUUUUAAAAAAAUUAAACUCAACUAAUUAUUAAAUAUUUCUGAAUAUUUAUGAAAAUUAGUAAAGUUUAAAUUUGCUUUUAGAAACAAAAAUAUUGGAAUUUCCUCAAUUAAUGAAAUACUAAAACAUCGAAUAUGUGAUAUCUUCAUCUUCUAAGUUUCCAAAAAACGAGGCAUGUAGGAGAUGUAUAUUCUCCAACAAACGAAGAGAUUCCUCCAAGAAAUAAAGAGCUAAGAGUUUCGAUGAAAAGAUACAUUUUCUAAGAAACGAAGAGAUUUCACCAAAAAAUGAAAAUGUUGCUCCUAAAAACGAAUAGGUGUAAUAGAGGAGUGUGCAUUUUGAGUAAAUGCAAUAAUAUUAAUAAAUUAAAUAUUAGUAAAUAUUUAUGAAUUAUUUUUUUAAUUUCUCUAUAUAUAUAAUUUUUUGUAUGUAAGAAAGUAUUGUUACCAUAAGCAAUUGCACCAAUUAGGACUUAAAUUUAAAGAGAAAAAAGACUUUUAGAGGGAGAUAUCCUGGAUAUUACGUGGAUUUAAAUCAAGUUGGUGAUAUUUAUUUAAUUGGUCUUCAUACACUUACUGAGCGGUUAGUUUUGAAAAAAAAAAUAUUUUCUUUAAUUUUUUCUUAAUAUGCAUGCUUUGGUGAAAAUAUUUUUUAGUCAUAGUUGUUUGUAUACAAUAUAAUUAUACUUGUAUUAAUAUUUUUUAUUUGCUUUCAUAUUUUUCGCUGAUUAGAUGAAUUAGUUGUAUAGUAAUUUAUUUUCACAUUGUAGAUUAAUCUCUUCUCUUUUUUUUUUUAUGAUUCUAUUUUCUAAAAUUUUACUAAAAUUCUAAAAAAAAAUUUCCUUCUAUGUCUACUAAUUCUUUAAUUUUUUCUAUUUUAUUUAGAACAUGUCAUUAGCAUAUAGUUAUCUUUAACAUUAGGUUGAUGAUGAGAAAGAUGUGCAACUACCAACUGAUAUUUUAAUAAAAAUUUUCACCAGAGUUGAUUUGGCUACUCUAUAUUCUUUUCGAGCUAUCUCUUUCUACUUCAAUAGAGCAACUUACACUUUUGAAUUUAUGUUGCGUCGUUGUCAAAAGUUGUUUGGAACAUUUAACUUGUUUGUACAACAAUUCGAUGUAAGUUUACCUGUAGAAUUUACCCUAGCACAUAACACUUUGGUUUUGCCAAAUUUUAACUAGGGAUUUAUACUGGAGAUUGUUUAUAUUCUUUUAUCCUCGUUGAAUAGAUGUUUGUUAUGUUCAAAUAAUAAUCUUCAUUAUCCAAGAUUCUGUAUACGUCAUCACACUAGCAAAUAAUGGGUUAAGCUAUCUAAUCCUAGGACUAAGUACCAUUCCAAAGGUUUUGCCUUGAUCGUGUAUGGGUCCUCACCUCACCACUAUAAAAUUCUACGAUUAUGUUGGUCGCAUUUUCCUAUAUAAAAUUUGGUCAGUGAGUUGUUUGAUUAAGUACAAUAGAAUUUAGCGAUGGUGUGGUGAAACUUGCCUAAAUGCAAUUCAUUCUUUAGGUUUGGAGGGAUCAUUUUUAGUUGGCCGGUAUUUGUAUUGGAUAGUAAAUAAUUGUACGAUCUUUGUGUUUGACUUACGAACAUUUAAUUCGCAUUUCAAAGAACUACCAAACCAAGCUGGCUAUUGUCCUAUACAUCCUUACAAAAAUGAGUUGGCGAGCCGCGAUGGAGGCCUUGAUUUACUACAUAUUUGUCUCGACACAAUGGAUAUUUGGAAUCUACCAUCAUACAACUCAGCUUGGAUUUUUGUUGCUAGAGCGUGUUUCAGUCCCUUAUUGGUAAAUUCUAUAUUCUACAGUACGAUAAUUUUUCGAACAUAUGAUAAAAUAUUUUUGUUGACCGCCGAUGGCAUUUUCAUUAUGGACAUACAAGAUCGUGCUGUUGAGAUUUUGAGCUUGAGUGAGAAUCAUCCAAUUGGAUCAGAGAUCUAUAUUUACUAUUCUGCAUUUUCUAAUGAGAGAAUUUAUUUGGAAUAAAAGAACUCCUUCUGAAUACAACGGCAACCGGUUGUUCAAAAUAAUUGUAUUAAGUUACAAUAAUAUAAUAGUUUUUCUAUAGCUUUCUCAAGCAACAUAUAGAAAUGUUGUUUGAUGAUAUUUCUAGCAUUUUGUUUGCUUCUCUAAAUGUUUCAGGUCCUUUUUGUUCUUUCUUUUUUUUUGGGGCUUAUAGUGCUGAUGUAUAAAACAGUUUCUAUAUUAAUACAAAUCUUAAGUUUGACUAUUUAAAAAAUUGCUAAAGUUCAAAUCACUUUUCGCUACCUUUGAUAUUUUUCACACAAUUUUUUUAACAAAAGGUAAUUUUACAAAACCAUUUUUAGCUGUUAAUUAAAACUUUUUACACAACCUUUAAAUUAGAAAUUUUAAACACAAAUUCAAUUUCGAAUUGGCAAAUUUCAAAUAGCAACACAUAUAAUGAAAUAAAAUACGAAUUUGAGUUUAAGUUACGAUAAAAGUUAAUAGAAAAAUUCAGAUAUUUUUUACGUAAUUAAUAUGUAUGAGUAUAUUUAAUAAUAGCAUAAGCGAAACGUCAUACAAAUAAAAUUUCAUACAUAUUUAAUUUGAUAUUAAAUAUCCAUCAAGAGAAUUUGUAAAAGGCUAUAAACAGAUUUAUUAAUGCUUAAAAAAUUAAUUUCAAAAAAAAACUUCCGAUACAAGUGAGAGAAAACUAUUUAAAUGAUUAUUUGUCAAAACAUUAAAUGUACAUUAUAAGUUUAGAUUUAUAUUAAAAUUUGAAUAUUUUUUUCAAAAUUUAGAUUUUACAUCUAAAUUGGCUUGAAAGAUUACGAAAAAAAAUAAUAUAUAUAAGCGCAAUUUGGUUAAAUUAUAGGAUGGGUGAGGAAAGUUUGAAGUUUAAUUCAAAUUUUACAAUGUUCAUCCAAAUUGGCUUUAAAAAGUUAUGAAAAAAUUAUUGAAACAUUUGGUAAAAUUAUAUAAUUUACCAAAAAAAGGGACGAGAAAACAUUACUAUUUAAUUUCCAUUUGUAAAGGAAAACGAUCACUUCUCGUACGGUAAUAAAUAACUAGCGAAUCCAAAUUAAAACACGCCAUUUAUUUAAUUAAGAAGAAUAUAUUUCUAUUAGGGUCUCCAUAAGGAAUUAAUUUUUUAUUGUGUGAUUUAAUUUUCAUAUAAAUAGAAAGACGUGAAAUUCAAGUCAUUAUUGGACAGGAUAAUAGAAAUCAUGUCCGAUUCUAAUUCUCGUGCCUUCCAAAAACAGAUAUUAAUGCCCAAUGAUUAGGUUCAUCUCCUAAUACACUCCUCGUAUGAACCUCAUUCCCUAUCUAAACCUUUUCAUUUUUUUCUAUUAAUUAACUAAAUUGAACAUAAUUUUACAAUUUGAACAUAACUUUAUUUUUGAAAAUAAACUUAAUGGCCAAUUCAAAUUGCUGCUAUAAAAAUUUAAUUUUUGAUAAAAGUUAUAAUAUCUUCUUUCUAAUAUAAUACAUAUAUUACUAACUAAUAUUAAAGUUUGUAAUAUUAAAUAUUACUAAUACGUGCUGAUAUAUAUAAGUCAAUAUAACUUGAAAUUAUCAUUUUUUGGACCAAUUGUUGCAGGGAUCUUUUGUUCUCGGACUUUGGACAAAAUCGAUUGUUUGCUUGGUUUCUUUGGUUAAAUUUCAUUUUAGAAAUCUUCUUUGUAGCAUGUUUAAUCGACAAAAAAAAACACUUAUAAUAUUUUACUUUCUUUAACGUUCACCAGUUCACGGCCGUGUAUAGUUUAGUUUUGAUACUUCAUAUUAAGUUACUAUGGCUAUUAAUUGUAUAUCUAUACUUUAUCUUAGGAUUGAUACAAGUACUUUUUCUAGGUGCUUUAAGUUCUUUUUAAUUCCGAAUAAUAGGGUACAGCUAUUAAGCGCGCCCGAAGCCAAAGUAGGCUAGGGAUGCAAAUGUUUUCGGGUUGGUAGAGCUUUCAUUUUGAUCAUUUCCAAAUGGGGCAAUAAGUGUGUGGCAAUAAAUGAACUUGGGACAGUAAGGCCGGGCAUUUUUUAUUUAUGAUCCAAAAAUGAUAUGGAGUGAGAGUUGGUGCAAAUAUUGAUCCGCGUCAAAUCCUUGCACCCUCCAUGUGCGAAUCUAUUAUGUAUUUAAAUUAUUGGAAUAAUUUUAUACAGCUUCCUAUAUAUAUAUAUAUAUAUAUAUAUAUAUAUAUAUAUAGUAUAUAAUAUAUAUAGGGGUGUAAUGCCAGCCGGCCACAUUUUCUGGGCCGAAACGGGCUAGUGGCGGCCGGCCGGCCGAAUUCAAUUUCGGGCUGUGCCAGGCCAGGCCCGAGCUGCUAGCUUCCGACCUGACACAGCCCUUUGGCCCGAAAGGCAUGGGCCGUGCUUAGCUGCCUAGCUUCCGACCUGACACGGCCCUUUGGCCCGGAAGGCAUGGGCCGUGCUUCGAGCGGGUCUUUUAAAAUAUUUAAUUUUAAAGUUUUUUUUAAAAAAUAGUUUAAAUUUAAUUAAAUCACUAAAAAUUUAUAAAAAUAAUUAUAAUAUAGUAAAUAUUUAAUUUUUAAAAAAAUUAAAUAAAUUUGUAUUAUUUUUUUAAAAAAAAUUUUCAACACAGGGCGCCGGGGUUUCGGAGGGAGGUGGGGAUUUCCAGGGAGGAGAGGGUCUUGGAGAAGGCAGCCGGGGAGGAGGUAGGGAGCGCUGGGGAGGAGGUAGGGAGCGCCGGGGGGGAGUAGGUCAGGAAGGUGGAGCGAGACGGCUGAACGAGGUGGGGGCCUUGGAUUUAGGUGCCGGAGCGGGGGCCACGGGAGGCGACGUUGGACCAUGGGAGACGGUGCGAGGGUCUCGCUGGCCGGCGCAGGGGCCGCGGGCGCCGUACGGCCUCGUGCCGAGCUACAGCUCAACACGGAUACUGUAGCACCCGUGCCUGGCCGACCCAGCCCGAGGCUCUGAACCGUGCUGGGCCAUAUUUUUGGAGCCCGACGGCCAAGCAUGGCACGGCCCGAAACGGGCCUGGGCCUUGCCGGGUCGAGGGUAGGCGGGCGGCCCGGCACAGCAUGUCCCGCUUGGGCCGUGCCAGCCCGGCCCGCACCCCAUGGCCCAAGGCGCCAUGGGGUUUGAGCUCCUGGGAGGAGGGCUCCGCCCUCAAACCUUGGGAGGAGGACUUUUGGUCCAAUGGACCAAAGAAUAUUGGUCCAUUGGACUAAAAGUCUAUUUCAUUUUUUAAAAAAUAAAUUAUACAAAUUUAUUUAUUUUUAAAAAAAAUUAAAUAUUUAUUUUAGUAUAAUUAUUUUUAUAAUUUUUUAAUAUCUUAAUCAAAAUAUUAAUUUAAAUAAAAAUAUUUAUUGUUUAUAUUUUUAAAUUCCAUACUAAUUUUUUUUAAAAAAAUUAAAAAAUAAAUACUUACGAGGCCGGCCCGAAGCACGGCCCGGCCAGUGCCUUCCGGGCCAAAGGGCCGUGCCGGGCCAUAGAGUAGUCAACUUGGGCCCGGCAAGACCCAGCCCGAAAUUAAAUCCGGGUCGGGGCGGGCCGGGCCGAGCCGGACCCUAGCCCAUUUUGGCCCGAAAAAUAUAGGCCAUGCCGGUCCGGCACGGCCCACAUUACACCGCUAGUGGGGGCGCCACGGGAGACGCCAUGGGCGCCUGCUCCUCCCAAGGUCUAACCAUGGGAGGAGUAUGAGGGCAAGGCCCCAAGGCCCUUGGGCCUUGGGGGUUCUGGGCCGUGCUGGCUUGGCUGGUACAGCCCAAGCGGGCCGUGCCGUGCCGUGCCGUGUUGGGCCGCCCGCCUCUCCUCGACCCAGCACGGCCAGGCCGUCGGGCCACAUAGGAGCGGCUCAGCACGGCCCAGAGUGUCGAGCCAGGCCGGUCCGACACGGGUGCUACAGUACUCGUGCCGUGCUGUAGCCCGGCCCGAGUUCGUGCCAGGCCGAGCAGCAUGUGGGCCGCCCGGCCCGUUUUACAUCCAUAUAUAUCGAAUAGCAGAUAUAUCUGUACAAAAUUUAAGUUUUUAGAUUUAUCCUUUCAAAAGUUCAGUAAUAUUCAUAUUUGUCCCUUUGGUUUAUUAUUGUUGGCUCACUGUUUAUUUUUUAGUUGAAAAACAGUGAAAUGUCAAUUUUGCCAUCACAAAUAUGUCCCUCCAAAAGCCACAUUGAUUAUAUUCGUACAGAAAUACUGUGAGACCCCAAAUAGUCCUAUAUAUGAGAUAUAAUAGGGCUAAACUCUUAACCCGGCUUAAGCAUUUUGGGUGGUGGCAAAGCCCAAGAGGUUAAGAGAGUUAAGCGUGCUAGGACGGGAGUAAUCCUAGGAUGGGUGACCCCCUGGGAAGUCGGGGCGUCACAAAUACUCUUCUAUAAAAUUCUCAAUGGUCUUCUUCUUUAUUUAUAAAAACUAACACAUCCACUAUUGUUGUAAUUUUUUCUUUAUCUCUUCCCUCACUGCUUUUCUUCUUUACCUAUGUAUUACUUAGUCUCGACGCUCGACAUGCGCAAAGCAUGCUUCGUGGACGAAUGGAGAUGGAGAAAUUUUAGUUACGAGUUCAAAACUAGCACAAAGGAGAGAGAUGGAGAAAAGGAUGAAGAGUAAGAGGAAGAAGAGUUUCCAUUGUUAGGGUUUUCAUCGAACUAUAAGAAUAAGAGGGUUUUCAUCGAACUAGAAUUUUGAUUAGGAAAAGAAUGUAUAAUAUUUAAAUUUAAAUUUAAAUUUUAAGAAUUUAAAUUUAAAUUUUAGAAAUUUAAAUUUAAUUUUUGAAAAUUUCAAAUUUAAAAUAUCAAAGUUUAAAAAUUUGAAAAUCAAUAUUAUAAAAUUUAAAUUUACAAUUUUAAAUUUAAAAUUUAAAAUAAAAAAUUGAAAAUAUUAUAGUUUAAAAUUUGACACAUCUUGUGGUGAGGGAGUGCCUAAGAUGAUUUUUUUUUUUUCCGUCAAUGGGUAUAUGGGUUAUUAUUUUACUUUAGUUUUUUAGUAUAGUUUAACUAUACUUUAAAAAGUAUCUGCUUUUUUGUAGCUGCCAAAUAGUUUAUAGAAUAAUAUUUCUACGGAUAUAGUAUGGUUUAAUUACGCUAUAUUUUAAAGGGCAUCCAAACAGGACUUAAUAUUCUAAAAUAAAAUUACUCUCUUCAUCGGUGUAUUUCAAACUUAGGUCUAAUUUAAUGUAGGUCGAAAUAUAGCUGUUCAACGAUCAUCCACAUGUUAAUAAUAACAGCUACAGCAAAUCAAACAACUUAUAUUGAUUUAUUUACACAAUAUUAUAAAAAAUUAUCCGAUGUUUUGAAAUGCUGCAGCGAAUCAAAAAGCGCACCGUAGUUAGUGAAAAAGCAGUGGUUUAGUACCAACCAACCGACCUUAUCAUAUAAUAUAUGGGCCUCGUGCGUCAAAAAGAAUUGGCACUACUUGGGAAGGUGGACCCCACAAAAUUUGGAAAGUCCAUAAAUAGAAUCACGUAGGCACGAACCGGAGUGGGGCCCAACCUGGGACGGUCCAAUCACGAGCCACCAUUUUUCCUCUUGUAGGGGCCCACCGCUUCGACCUGGUCUCCCGACGGAUGUCGACGUGGCAUCGCUCUCCGACUCGCGCGCUGGUUUCUUCGGAAAAUUGUACUAAGACACCUCACCUAUAUGAAUUUUGAAAUGUACCCCUCAACUAUCGAGAUUUCCAAAACUAUUAGCCCCGUUUGGUGUUGAAAAUUUGCACUUUGCCGCACAGUGAUUGGAAACAGAUUUAUUUAGUUCAUUAAUCCAUGGCUAUAUUUUUAGUUUACGCUACCUCCGCUUGUUUGGAUGUAAAUAUAAAUUAUUAGCGAGUAACUUAAAUGCAGUAAAAAUUAGUUUUUCGUGUGAAAUUUUUAUCAGCCACAGUUUAUUAGAAAUAUAUAUUUUUAUAGUUAUAAAGUACUAUUUUACUAGUAUUUUAUAUGACUAAGUAAAUAAAACUAAAUAAGUUUGUAAGAAUAUCUUGUUAAAUAUGACUAUAAAGUACUAUUUUACAAAUAAAGUGAUGGUAAUGGCAAAUCAUAAACUAAGAAAGUAUUGUAUUUUACCGAUUUAUAUUUUAAAAAAUAGAGCAUUUUACUAGUAUUUCAGUAAACUAUUUCAUAAUAUAUAGAUCUUUAUGAGGAAACAAAAAUUACUUUACAAAAUAAUGCCAUAUAAGCGAUUUAAAAGUUUAUACCAAAAAAUAAUAAUAAAAUUAAAGGAUGUAUUUCAAGUUCUAAAGUUGUUGAAGGGUCUCAGUGUAAUUCACCUCUCCAUGCUUAUCGGUUUAACGGCGCGAAGGGUUAGUUAAUUCACAACAAUUAUCUACACAGCGUGUAGCACCAUUUUGUCUCCCCCUCGUUUCUCGCUGACGUGUCCAACGCCAACCAAUUCGCGACAGAUCUCAGCCGUCCGUUUUUGAACGGCUGUGAUCUUCUUCUGGUAUUGCAGCACCUCGCCCCUGGUGUGCAAGAACUACCUGGACCUGGUGCACCAUAGACUCAUUUUUGUAAUAUUAAUUAAAUAAAAUUUACGUAAAAGUGUAUAAAACUUAUUAAACUACAACUCAUUUUUACCAUGGUAUCUAACAUUUAGUUUAUUUAAUUUGGGCCAUUUAAUAGCUAUUACAAUUCAAAUUUUGAAUGCACUGUUUAUUUUUACAAUUUUAAUUAGCAUAUUUUAGAUAAUUUGUACGCUUAUAAUUUUAUUAAAAUAUAUAAUAGUUUAAAUCAGAUAAAUUAAAAUAUUAGGUACCUAAAUUAAAAUAUGACAAACUUGAUUAGCUGAAUCAAAACAAAUCUAGCUAAGUUUUAUAUAUUUUUACCUAAAUUUUGAAACAACAGUAUCUAUUUAUUUAUAUUUAAAUUUAAUUAAAAAAUAUAGAAAAUUUAUAGGAGAUUAUUUUGAACAUACUCAUACACCUUUUUUUUUAUUUCAAUCCUCCCACAUUCAAUAUUUUUAUUUUAAUUAAGUUAGGUAUUUAUUCAGGUGGUACUCGUGCGCUUGUUCGUCGCUUGCAUGAGUAAGCCAACAAAAUUUUCUUCGAAACACAAUUUUACAAGUAUGAAAUAAGGGCCAAAUUUUGUUAAAAUACAAGAUGUUUUAUCAAAAAUAAUUAGUAGAGUGCUUAAAUUGGAUUUAAAUUCUUAUUAUCAAAUAAUACAUUACGAAAAAUAUUACUAGGUCAAGGAUCACUAGUUAAACCAGUGGAUGCUCAACCACUAAUUAAACCAGUGACGUCAACAUACAAUCUAUAUACAUGAUUUGUUAUAGUAUCAUACAUAAUACAAUAAUAAAUUACUAAUUUUCUAGACUAAAUAUAAAUUUAUGAAGUUUUUUUUUUUCGUAAGAUUAUUCUGUAAAUAGAAGAUAAAAUUAGUUAACUUAAUUAUAAGCCGUUGGAUUUUAAUAUAACUCAAUAAAGAGACCCGACCGGUUUGAUUAAAAUCAAAUAGAUUCACUAGUUCAAAAGGUUCAAAUUAAUUUUUUUUAACUUAUCUGAUUCAAAAGUUGAAUCAAACCACUUUAUAGGCGUGUCAAGCCCUUAGAGCAGUGUUGAACAUAUUGGGCCGGUGAAUAUGUGAUCUGGUGGACGAGGUCCACGCAAGUUUUGUAAACUGCGGUGGCGGGGGCAUUUUGGUCUUUUCGCUGUGCUGCUAAUUAAUCCGUUUCCGUGUGUAUUAAAAUAGUCUAGUAGGGGAAAUUUAAUUUGUCGCGUGCGAUGUGGCGAAAUUUUCGGGGUCCCGUCACCGCCCUACAUGGACCCACCUUGACUCCUUGUCCCUGGAGCAAUUACGCAUUUGUAUUAUUUCCCUAGACCUGGUCCACCGUGAACCAAAGUUUUAUAGAAACUUCUGCUGCAGUAGUUUUAAUAUUUAAAAAAUAAACUGCUCACUUGAUAUUAUGGGUGCCUUCUAGAAAGCUUUAUAUAACAAAAUUUUUAUCUAAAAUAUAAUAGUUUUUACUAAACUGUUGUUUCUAGAUCUUUUAAUUUAGUAAUGUGUUUCGAUAAUAAUUUUCUAAUUUCGAGGAUUUAAAAAAAUAAAAAUAUACAGCAACAUAUCAGAAAAAAAAAAGAAAAACUCUACAAUACUGAGUAAAUUAGUAUAUUACGAUCACAUGAUGAUUUAUUUUAUUUCAAACAAACAAUUUUAAGACGAAAUAAGAUAUCAAAUUUAAUACAUUUGAUCAUCUACCUGCAUAAUGAAAGUUCAAUUUAUAAUGCUAAUAUGAGGAUUUUUCUUUCUUUUCGGCUAAGUAAGUUCCACCUUCAACCAAAUCUAUUUUCUUUUAUAUAUAUAUGUAUAACUUUGAUAUUUUAUACUGUUCUUUUUUUUUCACGUCACUUUUUUUUUUUUUUUUGUAUAAUAUGUGUCCACCGUAUUGCACGGACAAUUAUAUUGAUAUUUGUUAUUUAGUAAAAGAUAAUGUUUUUAGAAUAAAUGAAAAGGGAAGGCAAAGUAAAAUAUUUUUUAUGCAAUUUAAACAGGAGCUUAAGCAUGCUCGGCGGUUCUUGCUGAUGCGAUGCGGUGAGGUGCGGUGCACCAGGCCGAUGCAGUAUUUCUCCCGGUAAGCUUACCGCCCCUAUUCGUCGAGGUCCCCGCGGAGUUCCCCACCGCGGCGUCCACGGUUUUGGACGAAUAUGGAGAGAGAGAGAGAGAGAGGGCUCAGGGAGGGAUAGGAGGGGUCGGAGAAACGAUCAACCGUAAGUUAACGGCGUCAAUUGACGGCGUCAAGUAACGGCCUUCAAACGGGCGAGGUGGACGUGGAGGCGGAGGCGAAGGAGAGAAGAGAGAGGGGGAGAGAGAGAGAGAAGGGGGGGUAUAAAUAAACAGAGUUCGUCGUCGUCGUCGUCGUCGUGGUUGUCGUUGUCGUUGCCGAGGGGCGUGGGGGGCGCGGAGGAGGCGGAGGAGGAGGAGGAGGAGGAGGAGCGGCGCGAGAGAUCUCUCGGAAGGGGUGCGGGGGAGGGGGGCCGCGGAGAGAAUUGUAAUGAAUCCGUGUCGAAUCCUUCUCGUUUCGCGUUGAUUUGGGUCUCCUUUCGAUCCCUUAAGGGUUCCCUUAGGGUUCUAAGCAAGUAGGGAUUUGGGAAGGAGUUUCGUUUGGUUCAUGCGCCGUUUCUUUAGAUCCCUCAUAUAAUUACCCCGUAAUUAGGGUUUUUUUGUUUGAUUAUGCUAUUUAAUUUUGUUGAUUAGAGAUAAUAAAAGUUGCUUCUUUCCUUUUUUUUUUUAUUGCCGGAAAUUAAAAUAAUCUAGCUUUCUAAGAAUUGUACUUGAUCGUGCGAAAUAUAUUUUUUAGAAUAUUAAGAUGAAAUAUAUUUAUGAAAUUUAUGGUAAUUCUAUGUAAAAAAGAUUCCCUUCGCAAAUAAUAUGAGAUUAGGGGAAUAGAUAGAUGUGCAUGCUCAUACUUUAAUCAUACUGAUGUCAUUGCAUGCUUGUUGUUGCAUCCUCUUGCUUAUGGGUUCCUAUAACAUGGCUUCUUUGUUACAUUAAAACUUUUGAGAUAUAGAAUAGGUGUAUUUGGGAUUGAAGGAAAUUUUCUGAAGAUGAAAAAGGUUCUUUCAGAUGAUCUUUAUCCGAACGAGAAAUGGAAUAGGUUGUGGAGAAGGAAACAAUAAUUUAAAAGUUACCUUUAGUUGUGACUUUGUUUGGCGUCGUAUUAGAUUGGAACUCUUCUUUUUAAUGUUUCUGAUUCGAUUUUUUUAAUGUAUUUUGGCAAAUCAAUUUGCAUCGACUUUUUUUAUAAAAUUUGAUGAUAUUGCGGUAUCUAAAUCUUGGUCAAUUCUUCAAUCACAUCUAACCAAUAGUUUACUUAAUUGAACCUUAAUCUUAUUAUUCUUUAACUGAAAUAUUGCUUAACAAUGAGCUCGUAGAGGAAAUAUUUAAUUGCUCUGAGGAAUGAUGUUGAAUGUCAUCUACUUCUAGGUUUAGUGGCCAGCCUGUAAGAUUGAAAUCUCUCAGCUAGUCUCCAAUUAAUGAAUUUAUUUUUGUACUAAUUUUAAAGCGGUUUAAUUGAUUUAGUCAUUUUAAUGGGGGUGGAUUCUUUUAAUAGGAUUUUUCAAUUACAUGUUGCCUUUUCUUCUAGACUGUCGAUCUUAGCAGUCAUUUGCACGCACCAUUUCCUGAAUCCUGAAAAUAAAGAGUAUAUCUUGUGAAUACCAAAAGAAACACAGUUAUAUGGUUUGUAAUGCAUCUCAUAUUGACUAAACUACAAAAAGGUUAUGUGAAAUAAACACUGUUAGUAGAUGAUGCCUUAUGAUUUAGCAUGAUCAGAUAAAUAUCCAAGUAAUUUGCAUUGUUGUAUAGUUGCAAUGGGUGUGGAUAGUAAGUUAGUAACUUGCUUAAUUUGUCUUCACAAUUAGUGAAUAGAUGCAGUAGUCUCUCUACCUACGCCAAAGAAUGAAGAUAACACCAUAUUUUUAUGUAUGAUAUUGUUAUUAUUUGUUGAUUGCUGAUAAACAAGGUAUGAUUCUUAAAGAAGAGAACUUGAGCCUUAUACGAAUGCCUCUACUCUUAUAGCCCAAACUAAUGAUUAAAAAAUAAAUCUCUAUUAGGUAUUAUUGGCAUACUUGUCUGCAUGUCACAUCAAAUGGUUUUUUUUUUUUUUUUUCUUUUUUGAUUAAUAACAUAGUCUUCUGUUAUAUGUAUGACAUUGGAGCAUAUAUGAAUGUAUGUUUGACCUUCUCUACUGUUAUGCUGUCACCUCAAAAUGAUAUUGCUAAUCAGUUCCUUUAUGCAGGGAAUUUGACAAUUUUUUUUCUAUUUGUGCAGUCCAAUGGGGAAAGAUGUUAUGGAUGUGUCCACAGACGAAGAGUCAGACUGUGUUAUUAUAUGCACACCAAGUAAUAACCAUGAUAAAUUCGAUGAAACUAUAAAUGGCAUCCAGGACGAAAAUUCUCCAAGGGGCCAAGACGUACCUUUCAUUAGGAACAGGAAUAUGGAUGGUGACACGCAAGAAGAGAAAUCCACCGACCAUGAAAGUCAGAAAGCUUUUGAUCGCAAGAAGUCGGUUCCUGUUUCCAAAUCAACAACAAGGCCUGCCAUUGCAGGAUCACAAUGGUCUAAUUACACGGUUCCUCAGCCAUUUUCCCUUGCAACUGAAAAGAGAGCUUCAAGCUCCAAUCGUGCUUUUGUUGCUUAUCCGGCUGGCAAUGGAGAAAAGCAGGCAAAUAUAAGCAGCAACCAAUCAACAAGCAUAAAGAAGACUGAGGUGUGAUCCUUUUUAUGAUUCAUCCUUCAAUCUGUCUUAGAAAUUCAUUCUUGAUAUGAUAUAUAAAGCAAUCCUUUAAGUGAUUGAAAUGAUUUACUCGUUAUUUUAGCGAUGCCUCUCAAUAUAAUUUGACUAGUUUCUGUCAGAAAUGCUUGUCUGCGAAAGAGAUGCUUUAAAUGUAUUGUUUUUUGCCAAUCAAAUAUUUUAGUGCUCUCUUUCCAUCUUUCUGGUCUUUAAUGACUUAAGUGAAUUCUUGACGGUUUUCUUCCAUGUUGAAUCACUAUUUACCUUUUUUUUUAUUUUUGGACAUUGGAUUUGGAUUAUUAUUUACUUAAUUUUUUAUGUGCUUUUCGGAGGCAAAUUUUCUUUGUUUGAAGGGAUUAUUUGGACAGAUUCGAUUAGAACAGUUUCUAACAGUGCUUUUUUUAAUGAAUUACAGAGUAAUUCAUCUGUUACAUCUAGGAAGCCUUUACAAUCUGAUAACACAAUGCACUCUAAAGAAGAGGAUUCCAUCUCCAUUACUUCAUCGUAUCCUUUACAUCUUAAUGGCUAUUGUUGGAUAGUUUUUCUACCAUUAUGUAUUCUACUUUUCCUUAGCUGUAUAUAGGACUGGAGCUUCGACAAGAUCUAGUAAAACUAGGACAACAGUGCCCUCUGCCCCAGUUUUUAGAUGUAUGGAGCGUGCUGAGAAGAGGAAAGAGGUAAAUAUUUCAUCUAUUUGAACAUUGUGAUAGUUCCUUGGUUUACCAAGCUACUUAAUGUGCUGGUUUUUUCAGUUUUACUCAAAAUUGGAAGAGAAGCAUGAGGCUUUGGAGGCAGAAAGACUCGAAGCUGAAGCCCGGAGAAAGGUAUGCGAUAUUGCUGUCAGCUUACCCACUCUUGUUGCAGUUGAGCAUGAGAGCUACAUUUUACUCUGAUUAUCUUCUUGGUAUUGAAGCUUAUAAGAUGAUGUCUACUUUUGCUGGGAAACACUAGGGACACCUAAAAACAUGAACACUUGAUACUUGAACGAUAUGAUACAGAGACAUAUAGGUAUAAUGUGAUAGCAGUUGUACAAGAGACAGCCAAUUAGAAAAUCAUUUUGUACUUGUUUGCUUACUUAGAGCUAUACCAUUAAAUACUAAUUUAUGGGUUGCUCUUCUUAACAUGGUAGACAUGAUGUGUACUACCCUCCCUCUCUCAAUCAUAAUGUAUAUCUGCCACCCAGAAAUAACUCUUUAGACGGUUGUUGAAUUGUUUUAAUCAAAGCUUUACUGUUAGCCACUUGUAAGUUUAUUUUGUUGAUUUAUCAUUUAUCUAAAUUCGGACAACAAAAGUAUUUCACCUCUAAGACUAACAUGCUAACAGAUGCCUCAUUUAGGACAUAGUUUUAGUAGCUCCUAAAAUCCUGUACAGUUCUUGUACAUAAUAAUGUGUAACUAGUGUAGGGUCCGCACUUCGCGGCGGGUAGAAAAAAAAAUGAAAAGAAAACAGGCACAUGGAGACAAGUAUAUAGAACUUUCAAAUGGUUUGAGUAAAAAUAUCAUAGGACAUUGUAACAUCAUACAUGUUAACUUUUGAAGUAAUUUAUUUGAGAAAAAACUUGGCAGUAUGAUAUAAUUAAUAAUCAGUUAAUUAACAAAAUGUAUAUAUAUCAAAUUUGCUGUGCUAAAUGUUUAUGUUGGUGAUCAUAGACACAACAUGCUGAGCCUACUUACACAUGUUUAACAUGGAUUGGAGUGGGGAGCUUAGUUAUGACCUCAGUAUGCAGUACCUCUGCCAUAUGUGUAUUCAGUUUAUAAGGGGCAGUUGAGCAACUGCACCUUUGUAUGCAGGUGCACUACUAUUUAGAACAGUAGAUUCAAAGUUGGGAUUAAUAAUGCAGGAGGUGAACAAUUUACUAUGAUACAAUGACCUACCGUAUUUGCACACAUCCAUUUUGAUCUUUAUUGCCAUCUACCAGUACCUAGUCAGGGCAAUGUAAAACAUGCUUGCAGAUAACUCUGAUAAUAUGGAGGUCAAUAAUGUAAAACAUGCUUAGGUUGGUCUUUAUUUGUUUCGUAGUGAUCACUACAUUGGUGCCUAACUUCACUUCUUUUCCAGGAGGAGCAAGAGGCAGCAAUAAAGCAACUAAGGAAGACCUUGACCUUUAAAGCUAACCCAGUUCCAAGCUUCUACCACGAGGGACCUCCUCCUAAGGUUGAACUUAAAAAGGUAAUCUAGUGUUGUUUUUGCUUAAUUUUAUGUGGUUAAAGAAAAAUCAAAGUAUAAUGCUUUUAUGCUUGUGGCUUUCAAGACAGCUUUUCGUAGUGGUAGAGCACUUUCAGUCCAGUCUGCAACACUUUUGAUGUAGCUAAAUCUUCAAGUCGUUUUUCUACUGGUAGUAGUGCAAUAAUGUAUUGACCAUUGGUUUUCAUAUUUCCGUUGUUAUCUGUGAGAAAUAACUGAUUUUUUUUUUUAAUUCAUUUUGUUUAAGUAUUUACUUGAGGCUUGCUUGCCUUAUGGCUCUGGGCCACCUUGGUGCAUAAGAAUUUAUAAAGCUAUAUGUCAACAUCCUGCAAUUUCUGCAUUAAACAGAGGCAUAAUUUGAAUCGCUUUGUUAUUUCAUUGGAACUGAAAGAAAUGACAGUUUUUCACUUUUCUCGUUCUUGCCUACUGUUAUUAUUAUAUGGUAUAAUUAAAUGUUAAUACCAAUUAAUGGUUUAUGCCAUGUUUGGACUCGUAAAUAAGAGCAAAGUUCUCAAAUAAUACUAAAUUAUCUCUCAUUUUCUGAAGAUUUAACCUGGCCUAGCUUAAAAAGCGCUACUUUUGCUUUCGUCAUAAUAGUUCGACUCAAAUGUCCAGAAUUCAUGAAGCUUUCGUGCUAGUCUCAUGAGUUUGCCUUUAUGAACUAAUUGAUUGAUGUGUGAGAACAAGAUGUUGCAAGUUUAUGGUACUCAUUUUCAAGUACACAUAUUCAAAUUUUAAGAAUAGCUGAUAAUGCUCUAUAUACGUAAUAAACACAAUAUCUGAAGCAUAAUGAAUUUUUCACUUACAAUAUUUAAUUUGUUUUGCAUAAAAACUUAUCAUCAGAGUAGUUACAUAGACAUUAAAUUAUUUAGAAAAAAAAAAGUAUUUUAGAUCAUUAUUUUUUGAACCAUUUUGCAUGGUUCAAUAUUGAGAAAUUUCUUGUAAGAUUAUAUGGUGUUUGGUUGAAUAGAAACACUAAAUAGUUUUUGGGCUAGAUAUCUUUCUGUUGAAAAGUAAUUCGUAAGUGUUACAGCUUUUUUCUCUUCUUGUUUCUUCCUGCUGUUUGCAACCUAAGGACUUGGAAAUUAUAAACGUCAGGAGGUGGGUAGAUAUUGAAGCUUUACUUUUACAUUUUAUUGACAACUGUCGGAAACAUCGAAUUAAAACAUGAGAUAGAAAUGGAUUAUACACUGAUGCACCUUUGUUUGUAUCUUUUUUCCUCCUCGGCAACGAAAGCAAGUAUGAUAAUUUUAACAAACAUUUGUCACCACAGUUCCUGCAAAACCAGUACAAUAAAACUACAAUUCUGGAACUAUUGGCAUUUUCGUUGACCGAUGAGCAAUGACUGCAGGCUAUGUAAUAUAGAAAGGUCAUAUUUUUUAUUUUCUCACUUGAAAUUAAAUUUUUCGUCCAUAAUCAGUCACAUAACAUUGAUAUCUGUAAAACUAUUAACAUGUAUCAUAUUAACCAGCAAUAAUGCAUAUUUGACUUCGCAAGUUGAAGAGAAUCCAAUCAACAUUAUUUGUUUUUAUUGCUCUCUUGGUUAAACCUUUAGCUAGUUUACAUGCUCCUGUGAUUUCAUUGGUGCUGAGUGUUUGACAUCUUGGACUUUAUAUGGAGGCCAUCUUACAAUCUUAUCUAAAUAUAAAGGUGCCUCCAACUCGUGCCAAGUCGCCGAACUUCACUCGGAGGAAGAGCUGUAGCGAUGCUACUAGUUUGUUGCAAGGCGAUGAGAGCGGCGGGGUAUGUUGUCGAUUACACCGCCACAGCGUAGGGAGCUGCAAAGAAACCACAAGCAAACUACAAAGUGGUCCGAAAAUAGGAACUAAUGCGAAAAUCAAAGUAGGACCAAAAUCUGGCAAAGAGGUUUCCUCAAAGGCCUGCUCAGAAGAGGUGGCGGCCGCUGAUGUUUCUGUACAGACCUGAUUCUUGAGAGUUUUUCUCAUGUUAUUUUAAUUUUUCAACCUUAUAUCAAAAGUGACUUCUUUGUUGUUGUUGCUUGUUGUGGGGUUUCUGCGAACUCUGUUAAAACUUUUGUGGCCGAGAACUGUAUGUAAAGCGUCGUUAUAUCGAAGGAUCAGGCAGUUUGAAGAACUGUUUGGCAUGUAUUUUAUGGAUAAUGUAUCAAUUAGUCACAAUGGUCAUGUUUAUUGUAUGUAAAUGACUUAUAUGUUAUAUAUAUGAAGAGAAAUGAAACUGUGCUUGCGGAUUGUGAGGAAAGAAAAGGUGAAAAAAAUGAGCUUAAUAAACUUUUCUGCGGUUGAUAUUCGACUUUUUGUAUGCAAUCUUUUUGGUUUUGUGCGGCUGAGAUGACAAAGCAAAUGGUAAUUGCAUACUUGAUCGUGUAAUUUCUCAUUUUCUUUUUUUCUGAUGAAUUUGUUCUUGAAUGAGAUGAUUUUUUGGGGGGUUAAACUAUUUUGGCAUCUAGCCAUGCUUGUAUUUACUAGCUAAGGAAACACUGAUGUCUCAUAUUUGCCCUGGCAAUACAGUUUGGUAAUUUUGGUCGAAGUUGAGGCUUUUUUUACAUUUAGCCCCUUAACAAAAUUUUUUUUUGCAAAUUGCCUCAUAAAAUUUAUAUUUGCAAGAUUAAUCUUAUCUAAACGUCAUAUUGGAAGGAAAGUUUAAGUUGAACACGAUGAAUCACUCACCGUAUUUUAAUACAGUAAAUGAUUCACCGUGUUUCCCUUAUAUUCCUUCUACCACCAAAUUGCUGUGGUGAUGGUGGGCUCCUAGGAGACCUCUGAGGUCAUGGAAAAAACCACCAUGAGGUUAUGGAAGAAAGAGUACAUCGUCGGGGAAGGGCUCAUCUCGCACUUAAAGAUCGAUAGCUCAUCUCGAGACAAGAGAUAUUCUAGAAAUAUAAUAUAAGUAGUUAAGAAUAGCCCCUACUCCAAAAGCUAACCCAGCAGCUAAGAAAGCAAGAACUAGCUAGAAAGCGUCUUCAGCGUCUCAAGCUGAAAGAGCGCUAAGUUUUGGUGUUUCCACUUCGGGUGCAGAAUUUCCGACCCACAUCAUUUCUGAUGCAAAACGAGAGAAAGAGAGAGAUCGUGCGGAGGGAGUUAUAGAUAGCGCUUGAACACGAAAAAUUCUUCACUGUGUUUGAACACAAUAAAUAAUUCACCAUAUAUUCAACUUAAACUCCCAUCAUGAUGCUUAUGUGGCACUCGCAUGGCUAAAAUAGAACUAAUUUUGCAAAUAUAAAUUUUAUAGGGCUAUUUGCAAAAAAAAAAAAAAAAAAAAAAAAAAAAAAUUGUUCAGAGAGUAAAUGCAAAUAAAACCUUCGAAGACUAGACGUUAAUGAGAAUUUUAGCAGAAAAUACCUAAUUGAGCUCGAUUGCAAAACUUAUCCGCUAUCGUAUCUGCAGUAACCUAAAUGUAGGUUAAAUUGAAAAGAGAACCCUCGAACUCCAUGGCGUUCUGAAAUAGACUCCUCAACCCUCUCCAUAAUGAAAAAAAAAAUUUCCUUUAUUCCUGAACAAUCAACCAAAGAGAGAAAGAAGUGAGGGACAUUUCAAAAUCGUGCACACUACAGCAAGUAUCAGCACAUCUUCACCUACAUAAGCUCACUGAUUGUGAGUCGCAACGGUAUCUCACAAAUCACUUUUCGAGAUCCACGGAUUAAUGGAAACACUGAACAACUGAGCACAUUGUCGACAAAUCUGCUCGAGGAUUGUGCAGACAGUAGUCGAUCUCUGCCCGUUAAAAUUACUGCACCAGAGUAAUUCUGCAAAAGUUGUCACAACCAGUCAACCCAGAAAACAUUCUCUAUACUCCCGAAUUUGUUUUUUGUACAACUCAAGAACCCAUUCUCCAUUAUUUGCCAGUUUUAUGUAUAUAUUUUACUGCAUUGGUUAGCUCUGUCAGCCUUUUACAAGUAUUAUACUACAGAUUAUGAAUGCACAAGUACUAAACUAGUAAUCCCUAUGUACACAUGUAUUACUUGUAUCAGUGGCCAAGUGUAAUUGUAUUAUGACCUCACAAAACAUUCAAAAUAGGAACACAGACCCCUUAUCAUGGGAAGUGAUCUAGAUAGUUGUAUGCACAGUGGUUGAAUCUGGAAAAUGCGAUCACAGACCCCUUAUCAUGGGAAGUGAUCUAGAUAGUUGUAUGCACAGUGGUUGAAUCUGGAAAAUGCGAUCACAGACCCCUUAUCAUGGGAAGUGAUCUAGAUAGUUGUAUGCACAGUGGUUGAAUCUGGAAAAUGCGAUCGACACAAAAUCACUGCAAAACAGUAUGUGCUAGUAAUAUGUAUGAUUGAAUAUUUCGACAAAGCAUAAGCAUAAUAAAGAUGAUAAAGAAGCUAAGAAGUAGACGAAUAUUAUACAAACUCAUCAUCAAAGUUAACGUUUCAGCUUAUGAUCUGGGAGCGGAAGAACAUAUAUCACACAACACAAAAUUAUUAAAUCAUCAGGAAAACUAAGAACAAGCUACUAAAAACACAAAGGAAAGGAGGGAAAAAAAAAAAUCGGAACCCGAUCUAUAAGAGGUUUAUAUAGUGGACACACCUAACUUCUACACAGGGGGAAUGCCCGGCAACAUCAUAUAGGAGCAGCACAUGUAGUUCUGAAGUGGCCCGUCUGAUUACACCUGCUACAAUGCACUACCCUCUUAGACCUGCCGCGGUCCUCCGCCCUAACCCUCUUCUUCCUCGGCCUCCCAGGUGGUCUUAAUGACUUGGGCGGAUUUAUUAUAGCGUCGAUCUUAUUCUCACCGCCUUGACUAGUUUCGGAUAUUUCCUUCCAAAGGCUCUUAUCAGGAAUAGGAUGUAUAGUCUGGGAAUACGUCUUCCUGUAAGUCGCCACAGUGAAACAGCUUUCUGUGUAUCUAUGCACAUUCUGUCGGCAAGAAAGUAGAGCUGCUACCCCGUGAGCACAUGGCAGACCGUAAAGCUGCCACCCUCGACACAAGCAGCACCGGUUUCGGAUGUCGACAAUAUUAGUUCCUUCGUGAGGAGAUACUACUUCGAAUUCAGCUUCAUUCGCUCGCCCCACUUGAUAUCCCUGUGCACGUUCAAUGGCCUCAGAUACGCGGCGUUCAGCAGAGGGAACUAAAAUCGUGCUCCACUGCAUGCUUCUCUCGCGCCGCUCAUUGAACCACGUCAUCAACUGCCGACGAAUGCACUCCAUCAUUUGAAUUAUUGGGAGGCCAGAAGCUUCUAGUAUCCAGCUAUUCAGCGAUUCCACUAUAUUCGCGGUUAAGUGGCCAAACCGUGUGCCUUCAAAAUAGGCUGUUGCCCAUAGACGAGGCGGAAUACGCCUAAUCCAGAAAGCCGCUUCGGGAGAUAGCUCUUCGAUCUCUAAUAUUUUGGCUUCGAAUUCAAUUACCGUGAGAGCAUGAGCGGCUUCCCAUAGUAAAUUUACGAGCAUGGUGUUGCUGAACUCUUUUCGGAAACUUUCACUUAGGUGAUGCAUGCAAAAGCCGUGAAAGGCAGUCGGGAAGUUAAAAUCAACUCCGUCUACUAUCCCUUUCUGCCUAUUUGACAAGAUCGUGAGCCUCGGCAUGUUCUCCGUGUUAGCUUCUAGCAAAGCAUGAAGCUCAGAUAAGAACCAAAUCCAAUUUUCAUCAGUUUCCUCAUCGACCACUCCAAAUGCUAAAGGAAAAAGAGCACCAUCUCCAUCGAAACCAGUGGCGAGAAGCAAAGUACCCAAAUACUUGCUCUUCAAAACAGUCCUAUCGAGCCCAAUUAAUGGACGGCAUGCAUUGACGAAUCCGUAUAUCGAAGCAUAGAACGAAAUAAAUAAGCGGCAGAAACAAUUAUCAUCCGGAUUACCAUAAACUGAUGAGAUACUACCCGGAUUUGUCCUCUGCACUUGCUCACAAUACUGUGGCAAAAGGCGGUAGCCUUCUUCAAAAGACCCUCGCACGGCAGCCAUUAUCCUCUCCUUCCCUCUCCAAGCCUGCUUGUACGACAAAGUAAUCCCAUGAACACGAUGAAUCUCUUCUAAAAUCUCUUUGGGCUUACAAUGCGGGUUCUCACGAAGCCGUUCCUCAACCGAACUUGCGACCCACUGAACUGAUGCCUGCUGAUGCCCUAGAUGGUUAAUUCCAGAACAAGUAUGACUAUCAUGUAUCGUCCUUAUAGUGAAAGUUGGCACACCAGGAAGCUUUGCACAAUGUAUUCGCCACGGGCAACCCUCUGCAGCACACUUGGCAGUGAACCGUGUCUUAUCGGAUUUAACUGUUUGUAUUUCAAAAUGGCAAGCGAUGGCCGUAUCUCUUAAUGCACGGCGGCAGCUCUUCACAUCAGAAAACUCCUGGCCCACGGUGAGCUGAUGCUCUAGGUUCAGAACAUGCCUCCGCGUCUGAAGAACCGAAGCGAGUACCAUUUCGGACUGGACCAUCUCGUGGGAUGGCUGGAGGGCAAGCUCGUGGGCUUGAUCAACACCCAAUUCGUGGGUUUCCGCAAGGCUCAAUUCAUGGGUCUCAGCAAGUGUCAACUCAUGGUUAUCAGACAGACCGAGUUCGUGGUUUUGGACAGCAAGCGCGUCGGAAUCAGAGUCGUGGCUCUGUCGAUGGUGGUGGGGAUCGUGAUCAUGGGGGUGGUGGUGUUGGUGGUGGCCCAGGACGAGGCGACUGGUGUUGUGGUGGUGGGGGCCAAGGCCGAGGUCAUGGUCGUGGGCCUGGCCUAGGCCCAGGUCAUGGUCGUGGGCAUGGCCUAGGCCGAGGCCCACCCCGUGGACCUGGGAUAUGACCAAAUCAUGGUGGUUUUGGCCCAGGGCCAAGUCGGGAUUUUGUCCAAGAACCAAAUCAUGAUUCGCCAUAAUAGAUCGCAAGAAAAAAUCCUUCUCGUUCAGAAACUCUUCAAAUAUCUCAAUAUCCACAGAAGCAUUUAGAAUCUGGAAAUAACAGCUAAUACAAAAUUAACAAAGCCAGAAACCUAUCUGCCUAUAACUCAAAAAAAUCUAUGAUUUCACACAAAAUAUAAUGCAAUUAUAAGGACACAGAUAGAGAGCUCUGCACUAACACAAUAUACCCAUAAAAUUUUCAGUUAAGGAAAUGAAGAAGCAUACCUCAAUUGAUGAUGCCAAGGAAACAACCGCUUUCCACGAUUCGGUCAAGAUCCAUUAUUUCUUGGGGGUUUCAAAGAAGAGAGGAUCAAGAGGGGAAUCGAAGAAUAGAGAUCAAGGAACAAAACCCAUAAAGGAAUAAGCAUGGAAUAAUCCUUCUGAGCUCAAAAACUCUUCAAAUAUACCAAUUUCCGCUAAAGCAUUUAGAAUCUGGAAAUAAGAACCAAUGCACAUAAAUCUAUAAUUGCACACCAAACAUCAAGCAAUAUGAAUCAAAAGAGCAAGAAAAAGCUAUACUACCACAAUAAACCAUAAAUAUUUUUGUAAGAAAACAAAAAAAAACAUACCUGAUAUUAAUCAAAAUCCGAGCUUUACUGAGGAGAAAACAACAAACAGAGGCCAAGCAACAAAACCCCUAACGGAAUUACCCUGGAAUAAUCCUUCUCAGCUCAGAACCUAUUCAAAUAUCCCAAUUUAUGCAGUAGCAUUAAGAAUCUGGAAAUAAAAGCCGAUACUCAUCAAGAAAAACUAAAAAUCACAUGCAUAACUCAUAAAUCUAUGAUUUCCAACGAAAUAUCAUGCAAUUGCUUAGAAAACCACAAUACACACACAAAGAAUUUUCUAAAGGAAAUGAAAAACCAUACCUCAGACAAUGGCAAAUGAAAGAAACUUCGAUCAAAAUCCGAGCUUUAUCGAAGGGAAAUGGAGAACGGAGACUGAGGAACAAAACCUACAAAGGUAUUUGUUUGCCAUAAUCCUUCUCACAUCAGAACCUCUUCAAAUUAUUUAAAUCUAUGAAGUAGCAUUAAGGAUCUGGAAAUAACAACUACAACAUAUCAAGAAAACUAGGAAAUCAUAUGCAUAACCCAUAAAUAUAUGAUUUCCAAAAAAAUUAUUGCACAAUCGGAAUCAAAAGAGCUAGAAAAAGCUACAGAACAUAACAUAUUUAUAAAGAUUUUCGUAAGGAAACGAAGACCAUACCUAAUCUUGAUCAAAAUCCGAGCUUUAUUGAGGAGAAAUGAAGAACAUGGACUGAGGACCAAAACCUUAAAAACCACUAGCUUGGAAUAACACUUCUCAGCUCAGAACCUCAUAUCCAAUUUACACAGUAGCACUCAGGAUCUGUAACUAACUAAAAAAUCACAUGCUUAAUUCAUAAAUCUAUGAUUUUCAAUGAAUUAUCACGCAAUUGGAUAAAAAAAAAAAAAAAGCUUGAAAAAGCUACACAAGCACACCACACUGAAACGAAGAACCGUACCUAAUCUCGUUCAAAAUCCAAGCUUUAUUAAGGGUGAACGAAAACAUAGACCGAGGAACAAAACCUAGAAAGGUACUAGCUUGGAAUAAUACUUCCCAGCUAAGAACCGCCUAAACUAUCCAAUUCACGCAGCAGCAUUUAGAAUCUGGAAAUAACCAGAAAAUCACACGCAUAAUUCAUAAAUCUACAAUUUUCAACAAAUUACCACGCAAUUAGAAUCCAAAAAAGCUCAAAAAAUCUACGCAAACGCGCUACACCCACACAGAUCGUCGCACGGAAAUCAAAGGGCAGUACCUAAUCCCGAUCAAAACCCGAGCUUCAUCGAGGGGAAACGGAGGACACAGGCGGAGGAACAAAACCCAGAAAGGAAUUUAGAAAGCAAAGGCGCAACAAGGUCGGAAUCCACAAGGGCGAAGCUAGGGUUCGAAGAGAACAAAUCGAGGGGUCGGGGUACUUGGCGGGAAUUGGGCGCGAAGGGGAGGGGGUUUGAACGAGGGGUAGGAGAGAGAGAGAGAGAGGGAGAGAUUUGGGAGGAGAAGGGUAAGAGAGAGAGAGAGAGAGAGAGAGGAGAGGAGAGAGAGAGAGAGAGGAGAGAGAGAGUGUGUGUGUCGGAGAGGGGUGGAGUUCGCAGGGGCAAAAGGGUAGGGAGAGAGAGGGGUCGGGGAAAGGAAGGGGAAGGGCUGCGGCGGUGGAGGAAAAGAGGGCAUUUAGGUCAACAUUUAGAUCCACUUCCCGUCCCACCUUGUGAAAUUACUGUUUUACCCCUGGGAUUUUAAGUUUUUCGUGUGGAAAUUUUCUAUAUUGCCCUUUUGGGGGAUGGUGCUUAGGAAAUUAGUUUGUAAAUUAAAGUCUAAAAUUAUGCUUGUGAGAUGAAUUUGGGGCACGCGCAAUCGACGAUCGUACUUCCACUGAGGGGUGGCAAUCCAGCUCGAUGUUCGCAAUUCAGAUCUUAUUCGGCUCGAAAUGAGUUCGAGACCGAUCACUCAUAUGAUGAAGAAAUCGAAAAUAAAUUAAAUUUUUCAGCUUGAACUCUUAACCAGCUGAACAAAAAUUUGAAUUAGCUCGCUCGUGUUUGGCUCUCUAUAGCUCGAAUAUACAUAUGUAUAUAUAUUACAAAUUUUUACCAUUAGAAUUUUAGGCCAAUUCAAAUAUAAGUAGACCCAUAUUUUGUAACUUUUAAUUAUUAAAUUAAGAUCCUAAUUUUUUAAUUUUUUUUUAACUUGUGACAUAAUAGUAAGGCUGACAAUUUAACUUAUUCUUCGCGAGUUAGCUCGUAUUCGAUUCGUUAACAAAUAAAUCGAACACGAGUUAAAUUUUUUAGCUCGGUAUUUUAAUAAGUUAAUUCAUAUCCAACUUGCUGAUGUUUUGCUGGUUGACAACCCUACCUUAAAAAUGUAUAGAGACCGCUUAACUAUUUAGAAUUUUGAAAUAGACAAUCAAUAUUGUUAUUUCUUUUUCUAUUGGCACCACCUUACCUUUAAAUUAUUUUAAUUUAAAUUAUCAUUUACUUGAGUUGCGAAUUGAAACAGUUACUUGGUCGAAAUCCGUAGCUCCAUCUGCUAGUAAAAUAUUCGUAAUAGUUAAUUUUUUAAAAAAAUAUUAUCGAAAUUAAUAAAAAAUUUUAUUUAAUUGAUAAAAAUAAUGUUAAUAAGAAAAAAAAAAUACUAAGAAGGUUGGAAUUUUAAUAAUAAUAAUAAUAAUAAUAAUAAUAAUAAUAAUAAUAACGGAGAGGUCUUUUUCCAAAUGGUCCAUAAUUAAGAGGACCCCUGUGUAUUUUUAUUUUUACCUUGCAAUUGUAAUAAUAAAAAUCCUCUCUUAAUUUGGAAAAAGAAUUAUAGUUUCUUAUCCAUUUGGAAUAAAUCGAUGUAAGGAAUUUGAAUACCAACCAGUUCAUAGUGAUGGAAUUAUACGACCUGAACCACUAUUUUAAAAAUUAGAUCAAACAGUGAUCUGAAAAUAUUACUGAGUUAAGAAUCACCGCUAACUAACUACAGCAUCAACCAAUAACACCGACAUGACAUCAUAAAUAUUUAAUUUUUUAAUUAUAUAUAUACUAUUCUUCUAGUAUCGUACUUAAUUACAAAUUACUGAUUUUUAAACCGAAUUAAAUAGAUAUAAGUUUGUCGAGAUUCAUUUUUCAUAAUAGAACAAAAGUCAAUCAUAAAUAAAAUUAAAAAUUAUACUAAUGAUAAAAAAAAAUUUAAAAAAAAAAUUCAUAUUGAUUAGAAUUGAAACUUAAAUCAUUACAGUUUCUCAAAAGUUAAAAAUAAAAAAUAAAAAAGAAACUCAGAAUCACCACAAUAAUCACAAAUUACAGCACAACCAAAUAAUCUAAAAAGCAUAAGAAAACCUCAGAUGCAUGGUAUAAUCACUUUUAAAUUCCCUCUGGAUCCAUCCUUUAUCUGAUUUUCGACUCCAUCGACAUGAUUUUCGAAUUGAAGACCAAAUAGUUACAAAAAACGAAAUCUCGUAAUUAUAAUAACGAAUUAUUAGUUGACUUGUUUAAUAGCUAAACUACCAAAGCCAUAAUUGAAGUUUUCUAGUUAACACAAACUAAGAAUAACACAUGGAUGGCUUUUCAUAAACCAAAAACUAGAGGAAAAUAAAUAAACUUUACUAUUUGCCUCAUUAAGAUUGCGCCAAUUAAUCGAAAAGGAAUCUUACAUCUUGUGAUUCUGUAUUAGCAUUGUUGUUAGGGGUACACAAGCAAAACUCACAUCUGCAUCAGCCACAACAAAAUUUGAUAUAUAUAUAUAUAUAUAUAGAGAGAGAGAGAGAGAGAGAGAGAGAGAGAGAGAGAGAGUCCGGCCACUAUACUCUUAUAAGUACGAUCACCCUCGUACUCAUAAGUUGUUUUCGAUGAUAGAGCUUCCGAAUCGACGAUCCACACCGUUAAACGUUAUCUAGAGCAUUUAAAACAUCUAGAAAUCAAAUUUCAUAAUUUUUCGACAUCAUUUACCUUACGAUCAAAAGGUCACAAAAUUGACAAUUUUUAACGGCCGAUAUAGGAUAUUUGCUAGUUUAACGGUGUAAAAGAAUCGGANAAAAAAAAAAAAAAAGUAAAAAGAAAAUACCUAAAUAUAUAUACGAGUAGACAAUUAAUUAUAAUUGGAUUACCUACCUGCUUCUCUCUGCAAAUUUGCAUGGCUCGCGAGAUGACAUUCCUAGAGUUCUCUUCCUGAGCCUUCUUGAUGGAAACCAGCACUGAAGUCGUGGCAUAAACAGCUACAUUACAUCAUGACGAGCGUGCACGGAACAAUGAGAAUUAGAUAUAUAUAUAUAUAUAUAUAUAUAUAUAUAUUAAGGAGUUACCACCAUAUUGCAACAAAUUAAAAUUAAGAGAACUGCUGUAAUACGAUUGAGAGAGGGAAAAACAGACCCUGAACCUGAUUAGCAUGCCUUUGGUGCCUAUUUUUUGAGUAAGAAGAGAAGAUAAAAGCUGAUGAAUUCUACAACGAGAUCUGCGGGCCCAUUGCCCGUUCCUCGGCCAACUCCUUGAGCCUCUCCGUCACUUUCUCAGCCACACUGGUGUAUGCUUUUGCAGAAGCAGAAUGAGGAGAUGCUACGACGAUUGGAUUGCCUUCAUCAGAACUACUCCUGAUAUCUAGCUCAAGAGGAAUCUGCAACAGGACAACAUGAAAAUAAAACCAAUAAGAUAACAUAUAAAGCAAGUCAUUUCAAUUUCAAUUGCUCCUUUGACUAGUUAAGAUCGAUAGCAAAGUGUUCUUUGAGCGCCAGCACUAAAAAGCGAGAACUUACACAAGGGCAUCAUAUGCAUAAAAUGUUACAUAUUUAGCUCCAGGAGAAAUAUGACGAAAGACUAAACUGAAUUGGGAGUCCAAAUUGACCUUUAUAACUUACUCUAAUUUUAGAUCAGAAAAUAUACACUUCCCUGCCUGACAAAAUAGAUACUUCAACGGAUACACUUAGGGCUUGUUUGGUUCAUCCAUUUUGAGUAUGGAAUGGGAAUCGGUUUGAUCAAAUCCGGUUAAUUUUGUUUGGUUCGCAUGAACCGGUUUGGGAUUCCUAUUCCGGACUGGAAUGGAAAUGGCCCAUUAGCCUUCAACUUGAUUCCGGUCUUCUAGCCCGGAUUGAGAUUUCAUUCCGGAAGCCCACUAAGUUCUCGAAGCCCAUGUGACCAUUUCACCCUCCUUCUCUUCACCCCUUUCUCAUCAAAAAAAAAAAAACCUAUCCUCUCUCAAAAUCCUAUCCCUAACCCACAUCAAUAAAAGUUUUUAAAAAUAAAUUUGAUAUUUUUUUUGGAAAACUUAUUAGAGAAUAGUAUUAUAUUUUUCAUAAAUUUUAAAUAAUAUAAAUUUAUAUUUGAGAGUAAAAUUAGUAUUAUAGUAUCCUAUAAUUUUUUUAGUUUAUACGAACCAAACAAUGAAAUAUGAAUAACUCAUUCCAAUUCCCAAUCCACAAAUAAACCAAACGUCUUGGGGGAGUGGGCCAUUCCAAUUACCAUUCCAAUCCAUUCCCAUUCCAUUAUCCAUUCCAAUUCCACCCUUAAACCAAACAAGCCCUUAAUGUGAUAAGAACAAUAUUGAUUGGUAUAUGCCAAGAUGAAAUAGAAGAGUUGCUUUGAACAUCGUUCUGAUUGUUGAUUAGUUGUCAGGGCUUUAAAUAGUUGAACCUUAGGGAAGACAAAUCAUAAAUACACCACUAUUAUUUUGCUGCAGAUGCGAAGUUCAAACUACUAAAAUUCGUAUUAAUUCGCACAUCAAGUUCAAACAUAGAAACUCCUGAAACUCCCGUGGAAACUUUUGUUAGUUUUAUACACUAUGAAGUCUAGAAACAUAAGAAAAUGGACACUGAUACUUGCAUAAGUGUCAUCAUAAGACACGGGCAUCAUUACCACACUAACCUCACCAAGGAACUUCAUGUCCAUCUCUUCGGCAGUUCGUUGCGCUCCCCCUUGUCCAAAUAUGUAUGAUUUUGUGCCGCAGUUUGGGCAUUCAAAGCAGCUCAUGUUCUCCACUACUCCCAAAAUCUGCCACAGUACCAAAUGUAAGGAUGAUGCUUCUAGAUCUAACUUCAGUGCAGUUUAGAAAUAAUUAUUCGUUUUUAAAUGCCAGAUGAAAAAGUUGAAAGCAGCUAGCUUUAACAGAGAGAUACAUAGUAGCAUCUCAACAACAUAACAUUCAGUGACAACUUCGAGUGACUUGACUGAUUCUGGUUCAAACAUAGCAUAGAAUCCUGCCACAUACGUACCACAUAACAAUGAGCAUGGCUUAAACAUUCUACAAUUUGAGUGUGCUUCUCAUCAGUUUUCAAAACCAACUUUGGCAAUCUUCAUAUGCUAGAAAUAUAUUAUGAUAAAUUUAUUGAACUUUACAACAUUCUUCUAACCCUUUAUUAGUUAGCCAAUCAAGUUUUCUCUUAGGCAAUCAAGAGUUCGUGUUGUAUGAGAAAAAGGCAUUGAGCUCUCAGGAAAAAAAAAAUGCCGUAGAGUGAAAAGAGAAGUUCAUACAGGAACUUGAACUUUACGAAACAUGUUUGCUCCUCUUCGAGCAUCAAUUAGUGCAAUAUCUUGUGGAGUUGAAACAAUAAGAGCACCUGCAGCAAUUGCAUAAAGAGUGAAUAAUAGAGUGGUAGCCGAAAGUUGUGAGAUCAUCCUUCUUAAUAUGAGAGUAAAAUGACAACUGUAACAAGACUUGAGUCUCAACCCUCCCCAUUCACUUAUAUUCAAACAUGAGAAUAGUUAAAGUAUUUCAGUAAAAUAGAGAACAUAUUCUGUACGAGAUGGUAAUAAUUGAAUGCAAGAGCUUCUCCUAAGAUUCUAUUGAUGGAUAGAAAAACAUAUAUCAUCCCUUGCUAUAAAAUCAAAUAAAUAAAAAAAUAUAAUCUAGUCUACGUCAACAAGCAGACUUUACAUUUCCAGCAGAAGAGAAAAUCAAGUACAACAAUCUAGCUAAGUGUUGAAUUUUUCAACAUACCAGAUAAUUGAAGUCUCUGAGAUAUAGAAAGCUGAGCAUCGCCGGUGCCUGGAGGCAUAUCAACAACAAGAAUAUCUAGGUCACCCCAUGCAACACCCCUUGUUAACUUCUCAAUAGCACUCAUUACCUGAGAUCACAAUGGCCUGAUGUCAGAGAAAAUAAGCCUCUUAGAAGAGAACAGCCUUGUAAGUUCCAACACAAAAAAUUCCUGCCUACAAGAAAUUGAUGUAGAAAUGGAAUUCUGGAUUACUCCCUUCAUUCAACAUUUCAAAAGCAAGUCGAGUCCAAAACUACAGAAUUAAUAACUGUAUGUGCGUACGAAAAUCUGUUCAAGACACUCUGCAGGAAAUGGACAACAAAGGAGAUGCUCAUUAAAAUAAAGUGUCAUUAAGAUAUGUGUGUGAAGCUAGAACAGGAUAUCAACCCAUAAAUUGGUUCUGGGAUAAAUUGCACAGUGGACUAACGUACAAAUCAUUAGACCUCUUUGUUUUUGUGAAAAACACCUCAUUAGACUGAUCAAAUUGAAGAACCAAGACAGUCUAAGAAAAUGUAAAUAAAAUAAUUCUCAGCCAUAAAACAUAUAUAAAACCCACAAAGGAACAGAAAAUGUAAACAAAUUAUGCUAUUGUCAAGUUCAUCAAAGAUCAGUAUCAAUUCCAUUAUGUGCAUACCAUUUAUAACGUGAUAUGUUUUUACAUACAUUAUAAAUUAACUUAAAGGUUGAUUUGACUAAAUGACAAGCACAUGUCACAGGCACUAAUCUUAGUAUUACUACACAAUAAAGAGGGAAAGAAAAGAAGAAGACAUGCAAAAACAAACCAUAGGACCUCUCCAAACUAUUGGAGCAUCCUUGCCCACAAGAAAUCCAAUGGACAUACAUCGAACUCCAUGGUUCUCAAUAGGAAUCAUCUUCAUAUCUGCAGGGAAAAGAUCAUAAUACCUAAUUACCUUAUAUGAGACAAAGUAACAAGACCCAAAAGCCUAGCUAAAAGCACUUAGUUUUCAGUUUCAAUAGUUUAAAAUUUUAGAGUAAAAACACGCAGGCAACAAUUGUAAAACAUACGAACUAAUUUUAAAAAGAUCAGUUUAUACAACUUCUAAUUGAGGACCUAAUUUGUUAUUGCCAUUCAUGAAAUGAAUUAAUCAAAGACCCAAAGCAUCAAACGGUCUAUAUGAGAUACAAGCCUCCUAUAUACUUGUAUAACGAUUUAGAACCAAUGAUCAUAAGCUGAUAGCCUAUAUUAUGAAUCACCAAAGGAAAGAAAAGAAAACACCUCGAUCCACUUCAGGCUUUUCAUGGAGAUUCAUCAUUGUAGGUAUUGAUGGCCCAUAUAUAUCAGCAUCCAGUAAUCCCACCUUCAUUUGGCAUGCCUUAGCAAGAGCAACAGAUAAAUUAACUGCAAGUGCAAAGUAUAGCUUCAUAACCAUUCUUAUGACAAUACAAUGAGGACCCAUUGUGAUGCAUGUAUCUAGUUCACAGUUGAUCAGAACAUUCUUAUGCAACUAGUGUACUCAGCACUCUCAACUGCUGCAAAAACAUACUUAAUGAGGUUUUCGGUUACUAGAUAUAAAAUAUUGAUUGAAACACCGUUCUAUGCCAGCUUAGGCAUUUAGGCCCUGUUUAGACACAUGAAUAUCAGUAUAUCUUUUUGACUUACUGAGGAAGCUUGUAGUAUUUGAUAGAUGAAGAACCACACCUUACUCGACGUUCAAAGCCAUUUUUCUCAUAAUAAGAUAAAUCAUCUCAUACAUCAAAAUAUACUCCUACCAAAUUGUCGAUCCCAAAACCUUCCAAGGAGCUAAAAUUAAACUCCUAGCUUGGAAUUACAAAAGAAAAUCCUUGUAACGUGUAAAUUAUUACUGAAUAACUUGUUCUGACAUCCAAAUAGUAAUCUGUUGCUUCACAUAGUAUCAGGGAGGAGCCUCCCGAGUUCUAUGGCAAGUUAAGCUUUUAAAGUAAUUGGUUGCUACACGCUAUACAUUAUAAUUUAAAAAGAUUAUCAUCAACAUCAAGAAGAAGAACACCUGCGGUUGUGGACUUCCCAACGCCGCCUUUCCCGGAGGCGACGGCGAUGAUGUCCUUAACCCCAACGAUCGAAGCGCCCUUCGCAGCAACAGAGCUACGAUGCCUCACGGAGUUGGAACCCUAACAAAAUCGAAGAGAUUUUUACACGGAUGAGUAAGCAAAGUUGGGCAUUUAGGAUUCGGAUUAGGGAUUAGGGUUUAGGGUUUUGCACACCAUGUGUUUGAGGAAAUGGUUGAGAGAGAUGAAUCUGUUCAACCCCAUUGCGCUUGAGAUUCGCGUUCGUUUACGUUCGUUGAGGUGGCGAGGGGGAAAGGUUGGAGACGAGAACAAGCGCCCAAGGAGAGGGUUUUUAGUGUGGGAGUAAAGGGUGAAAAAAAUGUACAGAGCCCCCUCAAGUGUGAGGGUCUAUGAAAACGAUCUCUCAAAACUUAACCUAAAUUUUCUUUUUGGUCCCCGACUCUUUGUAUUUUGAAAUCAGGUCCUUAAUCUUUAGAACUAAUUGCACCAAUAGUUACUUUGGUUUAAACUUAGUAAAGCUCAUUUUCACUCUCCUUAAAAUAUACUCUAUAUCUACGGCUAUCUCGAUUUGACACACAACACCUAUAAUAUCUUUUAGAGCAUUUGACGUGCUUGGCAUCCAAUCAGAUAUACUAUCAAUUUUUUAAAAAAAUUUGAAACAAUUAAUAACGAGAUUAACCGAGAGAUACCUGACCACAACCAUAUCUAUACAAGUAAGUGUGGCUUUAUUAGAGUUUAUAUGACUUACUUCGUCAAAAUUAAUGUGAAUUUAGAUGAUCAAAAUGUAAAUAAAAUUAAGUGUACAAAUUAAAAACCGAAUAGCUAAAAGAAAAAGGUCAUGAUCAAAAUAAAAAAGGUAAAGAUUAGAAACAAUAGUGCAAAUAAUCAUUGAGUAGUGCUACACAGAUGUGACUUGUAGAAUCCAUCCCACCCAAUAAUAGAUGGGUGUAUACCUAUACACUUAAAAAAAGUGUAUGUAUAGCAUUACUUUUUUAUAUACCGUAAAAGGGUGCGUAUGAUUAACACACCGCAUUCUAAGAUUUAAAAAUUUUUUUGUAUUGAAAAUAAAAAAUGACUAACCCACAUUUUAGUUGUAAUUUUAUAACUUGGCCCAUCUAAAGACCUAGUUUUAUCAACUAAUCCUUUCAAUUUUUUUUUUUUAAAUCACAAAAGCCAAAAGGGGUCAGAUCAAUUUUAUGAUGGACGGUUCUAUAAUUUUAACCCUUUUUUUUUAAUUUUCCCUCUCAUUUUUAAAAAUUUAUAUUUUACUCUCUUAAAAUUUUAAGUUGAUACAUUUAGCCCUUCCUUCCUCAGCUUUUUGUUCCUAUUCCAUCUAUUUUUUAUAAUUUAUAUUGAAAAUAUCUUUAAAAAUAUUAAAAAAUAUCUUUUUCGUAUAUAAUAAGUAUAAAUAAUUUAGUUAUUUCUCCCUCUCUAUUAAUGUCGUAACUCUUUGAAAAUAUUUUUAAAUUUUUAAGAGGGUAAAAUAUCGAUUUUUAAAAGUUUGAAACAAAAAAAAGUUAAAAAAAGUAUUUAUAGAAAAUUUUUCUGAACUUUAGCCUACAUUAUAUGAAUAAAUUGCACUGUUUAUCUCCAAACUGUCCUCAAAGCCUUUUAAAUGCAGCAUUUGAGAACUUAAAUUCUUAAAAGAAUUUCGCUACAAUCUAUCUCCUUAUUUUCUAUUAAAGAAGAAAUUAUUUUUUACAUACGAUGCAUCUUAUCGGAUCGUUGACGCUAACUAUUAAUCCCGAAAGCUCAAGCUGUUAAAAAUAUAGAACUACUUUACUUAAAGCGUACAGAUACAGCGCUUAGCGAUCUCAAUUGUAACCGGUUCAAACCAGCUUCACGCCAAUUCGAAUAUAACUCGAUCCAAUCCAGUCUUACGCCAUUUCGAACAUAACUCGGUCCAACUUGACCUCUCGCCACAAGGACAAAAUGCUGGCCCCAUUAAACCAACAUAUCUCUAUGUUCGGGCAACACACACCCAUGGAGCCUUAGAUUACGAUUUCAUUUCUCAAUUACAAUGCUUAUUGGGUCGCAGCUUUUCAUAUAAUCUCUAAUUUACCGAUCGUCCCUAAAGCAAGUGGCAAAGAGUUUGGUGGUUGGUAUCCGAGAUCUAAGUUCGAAUCCUUGUUGAUUCACAUUUCCAGUUAAGUUUAUUUCUAAAUAAAAUAAAUGAAGCGGGUAGCGUGCUACCUAUCUCUCUCCAAAAAAUAUAUAUAAUCUCUAAUUUAAUUAAUUAAAAUAACUAAAAUCGAAAAAAAUGAAAAGUGUAGUCCAAGUGUAGUCCAAUUGUUCAUUCAAUCGAGCCUAAACUCAAAUAAAACUUUAGUGGGGAACUUCCUAAUAACGUCUUGUUGGAGAGCUGUUGAUUCGCUGACACUUGCUGAUUUUGACUUCAUCCAAUAAUUCGUUCAGUAUUUUCAAUAUUAAGUUUUUUUAAAAAAUUAAAAUUUUAGAAAAAAUAAUUAUAAUUUUUGAAUAAAGAUAAUAGUGAUACAUGACGAAAGAUUGAGGCUUAUUAACGAGGUGUCAUUGGAAGCUCCCCAUUGAAAUUUUUGUUUAUCUAAAGCAUGGAGAGAGAGAGAGAGAGAGAGAGAGAGAGAGAGAGAGAGAGAGAGAGAGAGAGAGGUUACUAUACUUUUGACAGUAUAGAGAUUUUUGUGAUUGUAAGUUAUUUUUUAUAAUAGGAUAUUUGAUUCAGCGAUCGAUUUUAUCAGACAUGAAUGUUAUAACUAUCUAAAAAUUAAAUUUUAUAAUUUUUUGACUUCGUUUACCAAAUGAACGAGAAGCAUCAAAAUGAGCGAUCGAAAAUAAAAAUUUCAUAAAAGGCGAUGAUAAAAUACUUAUAUUUCAAAUCGGAUGUAUUGAUCACACUCUUGAUAGUAUAUAAUUUUCUAUCAAAAUUUUACGUAAUUUAAAUUGUUUACACCGUUACACUUGCAAACAUGCUACAUCAGUUAUUAAAAUAGUCAUUUCUUAGAUUCUUUGAUUAUUAGGCAAAUGAUGUCGAAAAAUUAUAAAAUACAGUUUCUAGAGAGUUUUUUUUUUUUUGAGAGAUAGAUAGCACGCUACCCGCUUCAUUUAUUUCAUAUGAAAAUAAAUUUAGCUAGAAAUGCGAAUCAACUAGGAUUUGAACUUGGGUCUCAGGUACCAACUAUCAAAUCCUUUGCCGCUUGCUAUAGGGGCGGUUGGUUUCUAGAGAGUUAUAAUAGCCUAAAUCAUGCCUAAUGAAGCUGGUCAUCGAAUUAGAUGUCAUAUUAUAAAAAACAACUUAAAAAAUAGAAACCAAUAUAUUUGUAAGUUUUAAAAAAUAAUUUUAUCAAAGUAAACUUUAGUGUCGCCCUUGUAAGAAAGUUCAAAUCAUGACUAGAUAAAAUGUAUUCGUUCAGGUAACAUAAAAUUUUAUUUUUACAAUAUCAAUUCCUACGGGAAACAUAUAUUGUCAAAACAAAUUUUAUUUUAUUGUGUAAUUAUUUGGGCCACUUUAUGGAAAUUAAAUUCAAACAAACACGCGCAUGUUCUAGAAGCUGGUAAAGAAGAUGAUUGGUGGUUAGCACACACAAUUACUCCAAUUCAAUCAUCAUACACAAUUCUCCAAUUAAGAUUGGUUAGUUCAUUUUUUUCCCCUAAAGAAGUGAGAGUAUACAAGUGUGUUAGGCUCCUCUCAUGAUAGAAAAUGAUAGGUGCUCACAAUCCAGGUGGAUGCCACAUUGUUUUGACACCUAGCAUUUUCCUUUUGAUGUGGCAAAAUAAAUGCAUUAAUUUUACAACUACAUAUUCUCUAUCAACUUAAGAUUUUAUAUUAAAUUGCGACCCUAUCUGUACGCCGAGAGGCUAGGUGUAAAUUUUAUCCCCUAAACUUUUUAGAGCUAGAAAUAUUGGUCUACUAGUCGUGCCUUAUUUUCUUAACUAAAAAUUCGAAGAGAUUAUCAACCGUCCCUAGAGCAAGUGGCAAAGAGUUUGGUGGUUGGUAUCCGAGACCCGAGUUCGAAUCCUAGUUGAUUCACAUUUUCAGCUAAGUUUAUUUCUAAAUGAAAUAAACAAAGCGGGUAGCGUGCUACCUAUCUCNGUAUCCGAGACCCGAGUUCGAAUCCUAGUUGAUUCACAUUUUCAGCUAAGUUUAUUUCUAAAUGAAAUAAACAAAGCGGGUAGCGUGCUACCUAUAAAAAACUAAAAAAAAAAAAAUCGAAGAGAUUUCCUUAACUCUAGGAUGAAAAGGUAUAAAAUGUACACUCCUAUAUGAGAUAUACAUAUAGUUUUUUUUUUUAUACUAAAAUUAUAAUAACUUUUUAAUGUGGCGAAAUAAAUAUAUUAUUUUUACAACUACAUGUUCUUUAUCAAUUUAAGAUUUUAUAUUAAAGAGCAACGCUAUCUGUACACCGGGGGACAAAGUGUAAAUCUUAUACCUAAGUUUUCUAGGACUAGGAAUAUUAGUCUUCCAGUCGCAUCAUAUUUUCUUUAACCAAAAAUUCAGAGAGAUUUUCUUAACUCUAGGAUGGAAGGGUGUAAAAUGUACACUCCUAUAUAAGAUGUACAAAUAAUAUUUUUUAUUAAAGUAUCGGAGUAGGAGUAGGAGGUUUAUAUGAGUUUGUGUUCUAUCUGACUGCAAGUUAAGGUUAUUUCCUUUCAUUUAGUUUACAUUCACAUCUUGGACCUAUAAAAAGUCUCAAGCUGACUUUUGAUAGAUUGACUAUACUUUUAAGCUUCGUUUGGUUUGUGAUUAAGUAAGAACUAGUUAUUUCAGGAAUAGGAUUAAGUUCAGAAUUACGGUGGGGUUAGAAUAAAUAAUUGUGUUUAGUCCAGAUAUAAGUAAAAUAGUAUUUGGCUGGAGUAAGUGGAAUAAGAAGGAUAGUGAGUUGUUAUAAAUAGAAAAUAACUUUAUAUUUGAAUUUAAAUAUUUAAAUUUCAUAAUUAAAAUUUUAAAUUUAAAUUAAUAACUUUAAAAAUUAAAAAAUU